GGUGUUUGGCUGCCAUGACCUGUGUGUGUACGCAUGUGUGACUAGCGUCUGGCUCGUAGAAGCCAGAGAUGCUACCCAACAUCCUGCUGUGCUCAAGACACCCCCCCACAAUGAAGACUUUUCCAGACUGCGGUAGCAGCCGACAGUGCUGAGACCCAGGAAGUCGGGUGGAGACAAAAGUGGCUGAGCAGCCGGUGACUACAUUUCCUAGCAUCCCUUGGGGCUAGAUGUGGCCAUGUGACUGGUUCUCACCAAUGGAGUGGGGACAGGCGUGCUGUGCCCAUGCCCAGGUGCAAGGCUCUUAGUAAGUAGAUGGGCCUCUUCCCCGCCCCGCCCCACACCCCCCUCACCCCCCAGGCUGGAUGAAGAGAACAGCAAGGUUAUUUGGUCCGGUGUUUUGUUUAUUCGUCAUAGACAUUUGUUUCUACAGAACAACUCAGAGGAUACACAGAGGCACACGGCUGUAAUUGCCGCCACAAUCUGCUGCUGAGGAGACAUGCGACCCGAGGAUAAGGGGCUGGGAGCUGGAUGGGGUGUGUUGGGUCCCGGGAUAACUGGAGGCCCCUGUGAUGAACCACAUAGGGAUCCUAUCAGUCACGAUCUGACCCCCGGGCCUGAUGGUGACAGUGGAGCCACGCGGGGACCUAAAUCGCCAUGUGAGGAGAGCUGUCUGCCAGUCAGAGAUACUCAGCUCAGAAUUUCAUGAGAAAAGGUGCGUUUGGGGAUCUCUCCUUCUUAGCAAUGUAGUCUACCCUGGCGACUCUCGUCACCAAGUCUUGUCAAUGAUUCCUGAACGAUAAGAAUAGCUAACGUUUAUUGAACAUACGCUGUGAGCCAGGCACUAAGCUCUUUGGGUGUAAGGUCUCAUUUUUACCUUCAUACCAACUCUUCAAAAUAGGUACUAUUAUUAUUCUUGUUUUACAGAUAAAGAAGCAAAUGUUCAAGGAGGCUAGCAGGCCAGGUGAGUGCCACAUGGAAGUUUCAUGCCAGAUUUCAGCCUCCACCACUUAGAGCAAGUUCCUUUGUCUGUUGUUAUAACCUCGCCAUUGGUGACACUUGGGAGUCAUAGUAACAGUUUCCCCUUCAGUCCCGUUGCCUCCAGUGUAGACACUGCAGAUAGAAUGACUUUUUAAAAAUCAAAUCUGAACCGGGGCGCCUGGGUGGCUCAGUCGGUUAAGCAUCCAACUCUUGACUUCAGCUCAGGUCAGGAUCUCGGGGUUUGUGAGUUCGAGCCCUGCACCGGGCUCUAUGCUGACAGUGCAGGGCCUGCUUGGGAUUCCUUUUCUCCCUCUCUUUCUGUUCCUGCCCCACUUGUGCUCUCUCUCUCUCUUUCUCUCUCAAAAUAAAUAAAUACAUUAAAAAAUUUUUUUAAGUAAAAAGAAUAAGACAAUUCUGCCCACCUUCCUUCAGUGACUCCCUACAUUGUUUCAGGAUAAAGUGCACACUCCUGGCCAGGGCAUGUGGGUUCCUCCGUGGUCUAUCCCAGAUUCUCUGCUACCUUCAUGGUCUCUUUCUCCUUCUUCCUUUGGCCAUGUAUCCCGGACUUCAGCCUCACUGCAAGAGAAAAGGAAUAUAAUUUUUUUUAAGUUUAUUUAUUUAUUUAUUAUUUUUUUAAUGUUUUUUUUUUUUUAUUUUUGGGAGAGAGAGAAUGAGUGGGAAAGGGCAGAGAGAGGGGGACACAGAAUCCGAAGCAGGCUCCAGGCUCUGAGCAUAGAGCCCUAUGCAGGGCUCGAACUAUGAACCAUGAGAUCAUGACCUGAGCUGAAGUCGGACGCUUAACUGACUGAGCCACCCAGGUGCUCCAGUUUAUUUAUUUAUUUUGAGAGAGAGAGAGAGUGUGUGUGGGAGGAGCAGAGAGAGGAGGAGAGACAGAAUCCCAAGCAGGCUCUGCACUGUCAGCAUGGAGCCCGACACGGGGCUCGAACUCAUGCAUCAUGAGUUCAUGACCUGAGCCGAAACCAAAGGGUCAGACGCUUAACUGACUGAGCCACCCAGGCGCCCCGAAAGGAAUAUUCUUUUUCCAUAAUUAUUCUUGCCGUGCAGAGGGAAUCACAGUUAAAGUAACAAGCUUCCCCUGUAUGUUUCCAAGAGUUCAAGCAAGGAUUGUUUGAGCAUCUCCUGGGAACACCAUUGAAAGGAUUCUUACGUUGGGUGGGAGGCUCAUUCCAAUGAGACACUGCAGCAGUUUUUCAACACACAGCUAAUUGCAUAAUGUAAGGUGAACCCAGGUUUUCAUCUUUGUUCAGCUCUCAGAUUCUAUUUGUUCCAUUAAAAACCAUAUUGGCUUUGGAGACUCAUUUGGCAAUAUCACACUACAGCAACUUUACUCCUAAUUAUACUCCCCAGAGAACUCUCAUGUGCAAAGGAGAAAUGCAGCAUUUGUAAGAGCGCAAAACUGCUAAGCCAAGUGUACGUCCACAGGAGAAUGGACGAAAUGAACUCCUACAAAGAGCGUAAACGAACUAUAAAUAAGUGGAUUCGAGCGGCCUGUGCUACGUAUAAAUGAAUCUCAGAAACAGUCUUAAGCAUCAAAGCCGUCUCAAAAAGGUAGAUAUCGGAUGAUGUCACAAAUAAUGUCACAUAUUGUGCCAGUCAGGGUCCCAAUAGGAAACGAAAGGCGAACUUGGAAUUCUGGAAAUAAGGAAAGGAAGGCACCUUUUCCAGGGGUGGUAGGUGUGGCGGACUGUUUCAUGGCCACAGAUUCCCACAUCGCUCCUUCCGUCCCGCGGUGGAAUCUGUUUUUCCAUCCCCAUUCAUCUGGGCUGGUUUUGUGACUUGUCUUGAUGAGAGACUGUGACAAAAGUGACUUCAGGUAGGUUACACCGGGCCUGAAGUUUUCUCCCUUCACACCUUUUUAAAAAAUGUUUUAUUUAUUUUUUGAGAGAGAGAGAGAAAGCAGGGGAGGGGGAGAGAGAGGGAGACAGAGCAUCAGAAGCAGGCUCUGUGCUGUCGGCGUGGAGCCUGAUGCGGGGCUCAAACCCACGAACCUCGAGACUGCGACUUGAGCCGAAGUCGGAUGCUUCACCGACUGAGCCACCCCGGUGCCCCUCCGUUCACACUUUUGAAAUGCGCUGACAUUAUACAAAGGGGCCUGCACCAACCUGCCUUGUGCGCAGAAAGACCCAACCGCCAGCCAGCGCUGACCGCCAGAUGCGUGAGUGAGGCUGCCUGGGGCCCAGCCAGCCCCUAGCUGACCACGAGCGGGCUACCGAUAUGUGAGGAGGGCAGCCAAAACUGCUCCGAGCCGAGCUUCCUAGCUGAGUCCAGCUCAGAUUACCAACCCACAGGGUUAGGAACAAAACACUGGUUAGUAUUUUCAACUAUUAAGUUUUGGCGUGUUUCGUUGGGAGUAUAUAAUCGACUUAGAAGGGUCAAGGAACCCGGAAGAGGAGCUCGGGCGUUGAAGUACAGUGGCAAGGUAAGAGUUCCCGAAGCAGCGAUGUCAUGGGAGCCCGUGGGGGGCUGUGGCCGCACAGGGAGGCGCCUGGCGGAACCCUGGAGCCCCAGAAGCGGGGCAGGGAUAGAAUAGGGGAAGAGAUACCCCAAUCUCCCUCUCCUCCUCCCUCCGGUCUCCUGCCAGGCCCUCCUGCUGGCUGAACCCAACCAGGAAGCAGAAGGCAAGGGGGCUUGGGUGAUGCCAUCGACGAGGCCAGCCUCCUUGGCACCGAAAAUGGAUCCGGGUGGGGCUGGGGGCAGACGGAGACUCGCGGGGACAUAUGUUGUUGCCGAACAGCAGACUGUGAGAACAUUUAAGGCAACGCGAGGCCGCCAACUCCGGAUAGACUUUUGCCUCUGGGGAAGGAGGGAUUUCUACCUGACGCGGGGCAGUGGGCGUUUUUGUAUGCGUGUUUCUGUACAUGCUCCAUGUGAGAAGGAAGGAGAGGAGUUUUAUGCAGGCCCGCCAGGCACCGGCCCUGCCACCCUGCUCUUCCGCAGAUGCCGUAUCCAAGUUGGGUCUCCGCGCACCCAGGAGGGCGUGGAGAGGAGAAGGGGGAGGAGGCCGAGGCGCCUUCCCGGGCCCCGUUGCUUGGCCCGUGGCUGCUGAGUUUCACGCUUAGGUCUGUCCACCUCCAGCCUCUUCGUCUGGGAGACAGACCCUUCCUGGUGUCACGGCAGGUGAAUAAGUUUUGCCCAGAUCUCUCUGUCUGUCAGGGCCUCCCCCUGUCCCUCCACCCCUCCCCCCCUUCUCCCUCCUUUCCUUCGCGCACUUGAAGACGGGAGAAGCCAUGAAAGGAUCCCUGGAUAUUAUUGGUGUAAAAGGAAUGUUUACGGUAAAAUAGGGUGUGUGAGGCCUGCCUUUUUAAAAACAGCACCUGGGGUGACGGAUAGGCAUGUUUUUCAAAUUCAGCUGUCAAAGCCAGGGCAAUCAUCGCUGCCUCCUGGGUGGAAAGUGAUUUACAAUUUUCCUCUUUAGUGCCAUCUUAAGACAAACAGGCACGCUUGUUUCCAUGGAGAACCCCCUCUUCCCUCUGAGGUGAAAGCCCGCUUGACUGUCCUCCCUUCCUCCUCUCUUUCUCGCUUUCCGAUCUCCUUCUUCUUCAUUUACUCCACAGUGUCUUUUGCUUUUCCCUCCUCCCAGCCAGCUUUCUGCCAGCAGCGGGGCAAAGGCACAGCCUGGGUCUCAUUCCAGGGAGGGGUAAGGCUCGGCCCUCCCUCCUGCCCCUGCGGAGUGGUUCUUAGAAUCCUCCGGGGCCUGAGAAGUUUACACCCUAGAUCUUUGGACUGUUGUCUUCCUAAGAGCUUGUUCCGAAAAGAGCUCCGAGUGGCGAAGCAAGCCUGGGCCUGUGGCGGCUGUGGCCUGGUCCCCGUUCUGGUCCUGUGGCCACAGAUCUGUGUGGCCUCAGGCGGUUCACUUCACUUCUCUGUUUCCUUCCUUGGAACGUGAGAAUAACCGUCCCAAGAGUUAUCAUGCGAAAACGAUGGGAGAGCCCUUCCUGUGGGUUCUGCAGGUCAGCAGCUGGCACCCUUGACUUUGGAUCCUGAAGUUUAUUUAUUAACCUCCUUCACGGAGGAUGGGAGGGUCCUUGGAGGAGACCCCCAAGAGGCCAGAGCAGAGGGGAGGCCUUGCCGUGGCACGGGCAGGCCGAGCCAGUGGGGCUGCCUUCCUGCUUUGGGUCUGUGGAGUUUCAGUGUGCCGGGGUCUGGGUCUGGGUGUUUAGAACAAAAGAGGAAGAGCGAGCUAGUGUCAGAGUGUGUGUCUGUGGCCUGUGAGUAGCUCUGAAUGCGUGCCCUAAGUGUGUUUGUGUAGGGUGAAGGCGGGUCUUCCCGCAUGUGAGCGUGCCGGUGUGUGCAAGUGGCUGUGUGUGUGUGCGUGUGUACGCACGUGCGUGUGCACGUACAUGUGCACCCUCUCCAAGGGUGGGGGCAGGCAGUGUGAACAACAGCCACUCGUUUAUUUUGCAUCAGGUCCGGAGGCCCCAGUAACGAUAUGAGUCCUCCACAUAUGGUCAAAAUAGCCCGAUGCUCAGCUCUGAGCGGAUGGGGCUGGCCUGGGAGAUGUGGUGCCCUAAACAGAGGCCCCUCUCUCCUUGUGCCACCCGCCCGGGGGGUGAGGUCUCCACCUGGGAGCAGAUGUGUGUCCUCGUGGCUUAGUUCUGCUCUGAGGGGGGAUUCGGUGUCAGGGACUGAAGCUCAGGUGUUCGAGCAUUUCCAGAAUUUGUCUGAUUUUAAUCCGGGUUUUGUUGUUGGUAACUGCAAGUAUGUGUGUGCUCGGUUCCAGCUAAAUAUGUGAUGGUGCUUCUUUCCUUUAUCCUUCCUCCCUCCCUUCCCCCCUUCCUUCCCUCCCUUCCCCCCUUCCUUCCCUCCCUGCCUCCCACACAUACUGAGCACCUUCUCUGUGCCAGGCCGUAUUCCAUGGGCUAAGGACACAAAGAUGAUUCAGAAAUGGUCCCUGUCCUUGAGAAACAUCUAGUGUAUUUAGAAAGGAAGAUAAGCCAAGAAGCUUCAGUAAGAGAACACAGCCAUGGACGGGGCCAUAGGGCAUCUGGGAGCACAGAAGGGAGCCCUUAGUCUCUCGGGGGCUCCGUGAAAGGCUUCCAGGAUACCGGGUACUUGAACUAAAUCUUGAAAGUCGAGGAACUCACCAGCUUGGGGAAGUGAGGAUAAUAAAAGCAAUUUUGUAAGAAUAGCUGCUACUUUCCAGCAGGUGGUACUUUGGGGGGUAGGACAGAAUCAUCUACUCACGUGUGGUGGACGCUAAGAGGUCACACAGUUCUUUGUUAAAAAUGAGCUGUGACACCGCUUUGUACUAGAGGAGGUACGUUAACUGAAAUGGCAAGCGAUUCAAAGCAAACACAGAUUAGGAGGUGAGCCCCCUCUACAUCUUUUUUUUUUAAUUAUUUUUUAUUUUUUAUUUUUAGAGAGAGCACGAGCAGGGGAGAGGGCCAGAGGAGAGAGAAUCUUAAGUAGGCUCAACGCUCAGUGCAGAGCCUGAUGUGGGGCUCAAUCCCACAACCCUGGGGUUAUGACGUGAGCCGAAAUCAAGAGUCGGACACUCAACUGACUGAGCCACCCAGGCGCCCCCUUCUACCUCUUUUAUUUGCCAAUUUAUACUUCCAAGGGAGUGAGUACAGAGAAGGGAAUGAACAGUUACUGAGUACCUAUCAUAUGUCAGGUAGCUUUAAAUGUUACCUCACCAACAGCUCUGUAGUAGGGUUGGUUAACCCCAUUUCAUAGCUGAGGAGACUGAGACUCAAGCGAAGUUUCUUCCCCGAACAGCAGGUCUCUGAACCACAAUCUAUAGUGCUCUGUCGCCAAGCCUGUCCUUUGUAGGCAUUGUCUACCAGAAUCUUCUAUUGUGAACGUAGCAUGAUGGCUAACAGACUUCUUGUCAAGGAUCAUAAACUUGGAAUUCAAUAUAAAGUCACUAUUAUUCCAGAAAAAAAGAACCUGGAUGCCUGCUCCUUUUGAAAAAAUAGCACGCCUUAGUGAGAUGGGCUAUUAAUAUACAUUGUCAUGACAUCAGUAUUGCAGGAGCCUACUUUUGGAGAGCCAGGAUGCUGCUAAUUUGCAUACUGCUUUGCAUUCAUUUGCAUCUGCUCUCCAUAUGCAAAAUCAAAUGCAGCUAAUUAGUGCAACCUUGUUACAAUGGGAAGCAGGCCCAGCCUUCUGUGCCAGGGCAUACAGAGCCCAGAACAGGGACCGAAGCUACCCAAAGCCAGUCACUUUCUGGGUUGGACAUGCCUGAGAGUGGAAAGAAGGAUGCGUGCUCUGAAUGAAAAGUAAGGUCGCUGAGUAUCUCUAUUUUUCAAAUAUCCCUUUGAAGUAAUUCUUGCAGACGGAGAGAGAGAGAGAAAAAUCAAAGAAUGUGACCAGAACUGCGCUUCAGGUAGAGCUUCAUUGGAGAAAGGGCACAGGAUUUGAAGCCCAAAGGCCUCAGGUGAAGUCAGCAUUGGAGAUUGGCUUUGCCACUUCUAAACUGUGGGACCUUGCGUUUGUGACGACAGGGUGGGACCUAGAGGGCAUUAUGCUGAGUGAAAUAGGCUGGACAGAGAAAGACAGAUACCAUACGAUUUCACUUAUACGUGGCAUCUACAAAACAAAAGAAAUGACCAAACAAACAAGGCAGAAACAGACCCCUAAAUACAGAGUGCUGCCAGAGGGGGGGGGGGAUGGGCAAAAUGGGUGAAGGGGGGCCGGAGACACAGGCUUCUGGUUAUGGAAUGAGUAAGUUACGGGAAUAACAAGUAUAGCGUAAGGAAUACAGUCAGUGGUAUAAUAGCCUCGUGUGCUGACGGGGUAGCCGCACUGUGAUGAGCUGGGUAGAACUUCUAGAGCUAUUGAAUCACUAUGUUGUACACCUGAAGUCAAGGGAACGCUGUGUGUCGACCAUACGGCAAUAAAAACAAACAAAACAGGAACAGCAGAAAACCAAACUGUGGGACCUUACACUUCAUGGACUUGCGGGGAUCACAUGGGGAAAAAUGGACGAGAACGUACUUUGUAAGCAUCGGAGCGCAAAACGGAGAUGAGGCCUCUAGGCCAUGCCUCGUUAUGAUGCAGGGUGUCCCAGAUCCGGUCAGGGUCUGACACUCACAGUCUCGCAGGGUCCGGACCCUGGAUGUGAUGGGAGGUGUGUCCGUGUCUGUGGCUGUGUCUGAGUCUGUGUCUGUGACCGUGUCUGUGUCUAUAUCUAUAUAAGCUAGCAUUUAAUGAGCACCUAAGAGGGACCAAGCAUUGUGCUAAGUACAUCGCAUUCAUAUUUCAUUUAAUGGUUCCCUUGACCACCCUGAGAGGUGUGUAUUUUUCUGACCCCAUCUUACAGAUAUCUCCGUAGCAAAAACAUGCCUGCCAAGGGUGCGAGGAUACUCUUGCCAAAUGAUCAGAACGCUCUUUCUCCUGAGCAGUGAUGUUGGCAUUCGUGGUUUAUUUCCCCCUGACUUCCACGUUUCCAGCCUCCGGGUAGAUACGGUCUUUCUACUAAGCUACUUCUUUCAGAUUGGCCUAGUUGGGAUCAUUUUGAUUUGAUCUUGGCUUUAGUUCUAUGCCAUGGGAGGACUCUUUUUUUCAACUGGUUGUUUUGAUUGGACUUGAGUAUUUCAGCUCCAUAAUAACAGGUCAUCAGUAAGGAUGGUCCAUUCUGCGAAGAGCAGCUCCCAUCUACCAAAGCAGAUUGCAUUAUUGCUCAAAAAUAUUCACUGUCUCUCGUGGCAGUAGGAGUAUGCUUCCCAUGGAGAUAGCGCCUGGCCAUGUGGCUUUGCUCUGGCUAAUGACAUGUAGGUGGAAAUGAUAUGUGUCGCUACCAGGCAGAAGACAGCCUGCGGUCUGCUAUAUCUUUUUUCUUUCCUUUCUGACAUGAUGCUGGGCCAUGCUCUGAAUGGAGUCUGCUCCACAAAUGGGUCGUGGAGGCGAGGCAAGUGGGAACCGGUGGUGGUAAGUCUUGUACAUAGGAAAUGAAUCUCAUACGGGGCGCCUGGGUGGUUCAGUCGGUUAAGCCAGCUUUGGCUCAGGUCAUGAUCUCACAGUCUGUGAGUUCAAGCCCCGUGUUAGGCUCUGUGCUGACAGCUCAGAGCCUGGAACCUGCUUGGGAUUCUGUGUCUCCCCCUCUCUCUGCCUGUCCCCUGCUUGCUCUCUCUCUCUCUCUCUCUCUCUCACUCAAAAAUGAAUAAACAUUAAAAAUUUUUUUAAAGAAAUGAAUCUUAUAUUGUCGUAAGCCUCUGAGACUUGGAAGAUCAUUUGUUAUGGGAGAAUAACAGCCUAUCCUGAUAAAAACAUUCCCUUUCUUUUGAAUAUGAUGUGUUUAACUCUCACAGGAUGGCCUUUCUCCUAAAUUUGGGAGGUACGUCAUCAGCGCCCCUGUGAACGGACUGCAGUAAUUAGAUGGCUGGACGCUUACCCCAAAUGGUUGCUGCUCACAAUUUUUUGUACCUCCAUUUUGGAAACUGCUUGAAAGUUUGAAAGGUCCGGCUACUACUGAUAACAGCUAAUACUUCACAUGCAGCGUCUUAUUUAAUCUUGGCAACAGCCACGGGAGGUGCAUACUCCUAAUUUUCAUUUUCCAGACAAGGGAAACAGAAGCUCAGAAAUGUUCAGUAAUGACUCAGGAUCACACAGCUAAGAGGAGGGCCAGGAUUUAAGUCUUCAUUCCUUUCUGGCACAAACCCUAAUGUCCUGAUUUUCUGCUCAUACUGUGUCCCAUCGAAAUGGAUGUUAGCUGGCCGAGUCACCUACCUCGCUUAUAGGAGGUGGCCACAGAUAUUCUGGCUGCUAAUAAAAAUCGAAAUAAUUAUUAAACAGUGAAAAUGACAUUGGAAUUGAUACUAGGAGUUAGGAGGGUCACUGUGUGGCUGUUUCUUAUUAGCAACCCUACAAUGUGACCUUGGGCUACAUAGGUUUUCCUCUCUGCACCCUAGAAUUUUCUUCUGCAAAAUGGGGCACUUUGUCUCAGACCACACGGUUCGUGCAUCUGGGCAACGCGAUCCUUUAACACCCUGAAAGCGUAUGCAGAAUGAUGUCUGUAAGUGUAUUUUUUUCUGGGCAGAGGGUCCAUACUGUUUUUCCAGUCCUGGAAGAGGUCUGUGGCCCCCAAGAGGCGCAGGACUUUAAUUCUCUCUCCUUUGUUGAGUAUGAUUUAUCCUUUUCCUGAGAAGCGGGUGUAGAGGCAGGGAGGAUUCCGUCUGACUAAAUCGCAGUUGAGUUGUGUAAGGUGAGUGUCAGAUUUAUCAAAGAUUAACUGGAAGGCAGGCUGCAUCAUUUCAUUAAAAAUAAUCGUUAAAAAAUGUUUCUGUCUCACAUUCCUGUGGCCCCCUUGCUGCUCACUCUGCACAGAGUUGUUCUUCUGUCUCCCAGGCCAGGCGCUGUGUCAUUAGUUGUGGCUGUUGGUCAUUUCCUGUCUUACUCAGCCAAAUAAUCAUGUUAUUUUGACUGGGAUGAGAACGCGUCCAGAACCAUGAGCUUAGUCUCUCAGGAACUGGCAGAUGCCUUUCCUUGAGUGUGGGAGGAAAGGAAAACAGUCGGGCUCUCUUUGCCGGCAGUUUGCUCACCGAUUUAGUCACGCAUUUUCUGUUUCCAGCCUGUCCUUACCGCACAGCUAUCUACCUAUCACACCUUGGCCACUGCUCUUGGUGCUGGGGCUAUUGAGGUGAGCAAUCAGACAAAAAGUGUCCCCACAUCCCUGGAAUUUAUGUUCCGGUGGGAGAGAUCAAAUGUCUUGGUAGAAAAGUUACUAAGAAAAUAUAUGCUCCUUAUAUGCACCCUCAGGACAGGAUAGCAAGAUGCCCUGCAUAGUACGCGUCUCAUGGGACAGGUGAGGGAACUAAGCAUUCGUGACGUUGAAAUAGCUCAGCCAGUGUCACACGGCAGGUACAAGGUGGACCUUCACAUCAGGUCCUUCUGACCCACAUUGCUUCCACAGAAGCAGUAGCCGCCACCUAAAAGCUUAUCAUUCAGCUGUGACCCAUUGGGCCAGGUGUUCCUGAGGCUGAUUCCUUCCUGAUGGAAGAUCUGAGUUUAUGUGAAGAAGGCUGACUCCCUCACCCUCUUUACAGCCAGUUUGGGAGGUCUGGGGCCAUUAUUUUUUCAAAUAACUGUUCUGCCCCCUUCCAUCUCUUUACGUCUCCUUGGAGUCUAAUUGCACACGUGUUGGAUCAUGCUUGGUAUUUUCUCACAGGUCUCUGAGCUUCUGUGUAUUUUUCUUCCAUACUUUUAUUAAUCUCUGUUGUUUGGAUUGGACAGUUUCUCUUAUCUUUCUAUUGCACAUUCACUGACUAUUUUCUUGGUUCCUUAUUUGGUCAUUCAUUGAUACCAUAUUUUGAAACUUUUGUCUGAUAAUUGCAACAUCCGUUCUAUGUAUUGUCAUUUUUUAAAAUGUUUAUUUAUUCUCAGAGAGAGAGAGAGAGAGAGAGGGAGGGAAUGUGUGCAAACAGGGGAGGGGCAGAGAGAAAGGGAGAGAGAGAAUCCCAAGCAGGCUCUAUGCUCUCAGCACAGAGUCCAGCACGGGGCUUGAUCUCACGAACUGUGAGAUUAUGAUCUGAGCCGAAAUCGAGAGUCAGCGCUUAACCGACUGAGCCACCCAGGCAUCCGUCUUGUUAUUUUCUAUUGCCUUUCUUCCUGAGUAUGAAUUCUUCUUAUCUGUUUCUUUGCAUGUGUAGUAAUUUUUCAUUGAAAACUGGGCAGAGUAGAUAAUACAUUGUAGUAACUGUGUAUUAUGUUGUGUUCUUCUGAGAAUUGUUAGAUUUUUGUUAUCGUAAGCACUUAACCGCCUGCAUUCAAAGGUGUGUAAUACCUGAUAUUUUUGCUCUAUUCCCGUGGCUUCUCAUCGCUGCUUCUUUACCCUGGCUCCCGGGGAGUCUUUCAGGUGCCUGUAUAACUUGGUCAUUGUCAAGAAUUUGGACAGCGACAGGACUCAUACUUCCAGUAGUUUUUUUUCCCCCUAGGGUUCCCCUCCCCCCCCAUUUCUAAUUUGUCUGGGUUAGUAGGUUCUGUCUCCAGAGAUUUCAAGCCCAUAAGACUUCAGCUUUCUGCUGCCCAAGCUGUGCGAAAUGGCUCAGAGUUAAAACAACAAAACAAAAGAAAACUGAGCAUUCGUCCCUUGAAGCUCCGUCUUUAAAGAACAGACUUCCUCCUGAUCUCUUUAUGCUUUUUGCUGGCCCGUCUGCCUCUCUCCCAUGCAUGUGUCAUGUAGCUGUCAGCCAGCGAUUUGGGCAGAGUUUCUACUCAGUGUUUACUUCUCACUACUUCAGUCAUUCUCUCUUUGCCAGGAAUUCCUCUUUAAAUUUUCACCUGCUUUCAUAACCUUGUAUUCUGAUCUCUGGCCCCUUGGGCCACAGUUGUAGCCAUGGGGAUUGUGGAGAACACGGAGAUCAGAAAGCCACGAAUUCUCAAUUCUUCUCCCUUACAGUUGUGUGUGUGUAUGUGUGUGUGUGUGUGUGUGUGUGUGUGUGUGUGUCUAUAUCAAGUUUAAAUUCUCCUCUGGCUUCUGCCUUUGGAUGCUUUCCAGGGUCGUUAAAUAGUUUUUUUUUUUUUUAAUUCAGUUUUCAUCAUAGUCAUCUGCAGUAGGAUUCGUGUGACCACUUCAUUCCUGCGCCAGUGCUCCUAAUAAGAUUUGACUCUGGGAAAAAUUUAAGACGCGCAGGGUGGGGUGAAGUGCUUGUCUACUUCAGACGUCGUGCUCAGCUGCGUCCAUGCGUUGGACUCUGGUCUUGUGUUAUUCUUCUUAGUUCCCUGUGUAAGUCAUGGAGGCUAAGUCCUCAAGUAAAACGUACGCUCUUGAGGGUAGGGCUCUAUAUGUGGUAGAGAUAGAGUAGACAAAGAGGCAACAGGGAUCAUAAUCCUUGCUUGCAAGAAGUCAGUCCCACUGGGGUGAUGUGUAGAUAAACCUGAAGGUACUGUGAGUAGGUCAGCACUGUCUGUUGUGCUGUUUGCUUUGUAAUAGACGAAUGGAGUCAUAGACGAUUGAAUAUAAUGGCACUUGUAUCCUGCAUUUUGAAAAUCCAAAUUUAUGCAACCCAGUCACGCUCUUUUUUUCCCAUCACUCUCCUCUUUUGCAUGUAUGAUUGGUCUAUAUUGGUUUUGGAUGCCAGUACCAUCCUCCCUUCUGGUCCAACAUCCCAGUGUUUCCUUCGGGAGCCAUCCCUGACUUAGCCACAUGAGUGGUGAUAGAAGGGGAUGAGUACGUGCACGGGCUACUUAGAGUAUCCCCAUCUUCUGGCUACAAUGAUUAGUUGAAGAAUGCAGUGUGAUCCAAGUUAGUCCCCUGAGAUUCACUCCCAAGACUAUUGUUAGAAAUUUCAGGAAAAACAUGUUUUCCUUCAUUUGGGAUUGACACGAGAAGGUAGGCUAUAACCCCUGUUAACUUCCCACUACCAGUAACUGCUCAUGAGAAUAAAAACAAUGUGGAUCUGGUCACUUCUUCCUUUAAUAUUGUUUCUGGAGCUAUGACACCUCUUAGGAAGAGUCUGCUUCAGGGAAACCGACACAUGAGAAGUCAGACAUGAGAGGUGGUAAGAUAAGAUAUUAAUUUGGGCUCCUGAGAGCAGAGCUGCCUGAAAUUUUUCAUGCCGAAAGUGUAUACCCAAGCUUCUUAGUUACCUGUGCUUAUCAAUUCCUUUUACACUUACGCCAAUUUGAGCUAUCACUCACUUAUGAGUGAUAUCACUCAUGAUAAGUGAUAUCACUUAUGACCCAAGGAGCCCUGCCUAAAAGAGCCUUGUCUCUUCGGCCCCUGCAAGAUAAGGUGAGAACUUAUGGGUUUCAUGAUUGUAGGGGGUUGAACAGUGUCCUGACAAAAUUCACAUCCAUCCGGAACCUCAGAUUGUGACCUUAUUUUGAAAUAGAGUUUUGCAGCUAUAAUUAGGUGAGGGUUGGGAUGAGGCCAUGCGGAUUAGAGUGAGCUCUAACUCCAAUGGUUGGUGUCCUUGUACGAAGAUGUGAGAACACACGGAGACACGGAAUAGAGGGUGACGCGAAGACGAGGGCGGAGAUUGGAGUGAUGCGCCCACAAGCCAAGGAAGCGACGGAUCACCAAGAGCCACCAGAAUUUGGAAGAGGCAAGGAAGCAUCCUCUACUAGAGGCUUCAAAGCAGCACAGCCCUGUCAACACCUUUGUUUCAGACUCCUGGCCUCCAGACUCGGGUAGCAUCAAUUUCUGUUGCUAUAAAACCCCAACUUUGUGGUCAUUUGUUACAACAGCUGUAAGAAAUUAAUAUGAUGGUCUGACUCCCGCUUCCCCUUCCAGCCUCCUUGUAGAGGCAACCGGGCAGAGUGGAUAACCCUGCAGACCCUCAGUCGGGCUUUCUGGAUUCAAAGUUUCGCUUUUUCACUUCGCCGUUCUGAGUCUCAUUUAUCGCAUGGAGCCAAUAAUAGUAAUAACCCACCCGCAGGUUGUCGUGAGAGUUAAAGGAGUCUGAAUGUUGCCAUCCUUAAGGCACUUUUGGGCACAAACGAAACACUCUGGAAAUAACUGUUACUGUUGUGGUUGCGGGUGUGGGUGUGUACUGUCAUUCUCAUCCCUGCUGCCUCCUGCUCUGUUCCCACCAGGGCCACCUCCUUCGACUAUGGAAAAGGAUCCGUAGUUCCUCAAACGAAGUUGAAGGGCGUUCAAAGAACUCCUUGCCCAGGAUCAAUGAACUCCUCUGCGUCAGAUUUGGAAUUCAGAUCCUGACUGGCCAGCCUCUGCCCCAGGCACUAUGAAUCACUCCAGAGCAAAAGUAGUGAACGGCCUGGAAGGAUCUUCUCUAUUUCCCUCUCUAGCUCUGUCAAGCCUGCUGAUACUAUUCAGUCAUCAACCUGUGGUCUUGGGGGAUGGAGUGCACGCUGCAAAGGGGCGGUGGCUUUUCCUGAGGCCAGCCAGACUCUCCUUUCCUGGGAUAAGAGGCUUCUCUUCCUGUCUUAAAAUCCGGAAAUAGCUUUGUUUUCUUGGGGAGGGGGCGGUUUUAAAAACCCAUUGCUUCCAUUUGUGAUAUUUGCAACCAUUAAGAUGGCCCCUAAAAGCACUUUUAUAAGCUCCGAAAGAGACAGACUGGGAAGGAACCUCAUAAACCUGCAGCAGAUAUUUCUGAUAAAAGCAUGCAGGGAACAUGUUCUUACUUACCUCCGAGCACUGCAAACUUUGCUAUCAAAACCCGGUAUUGAUCUUGUCUUAGUCUCUGUCAACAUAGUUACCCCUUGGGUCAAUAUGUCCUGAUUUUCUGUCUCGGGACUGUUUGGAAUCAAGAAAUGACCUUGUGACAUUUCCACCCAAGAAGUUUUCUUUGUGUUGAGGAUAUUUUUUUUGAAACACUCUGUCAAAAUCCCAGAGCAGGGCUACUGGCAUGUGUGUGUGUAUAUAUAUAUAUAUAUAUAUAUAUAUAUACACACACACACACACACACACACACACUGAUAUGUAUAGAGAUACAGAUGCACACAUACAUAUGCACACACAGAUAUAUUACAUCAAUAUAUAUUGGAAAGAUAUUAAAUACUGUGUCUUCACCUGUCUGCAUGGCUCUCUCUCUUCCGUUUGCCCAUCUCUCUCAUCUGUGCUUGUCCAUUUCUAUCUCUGACCUCUUUAUCUCACGAUAAAACUGCCAUUGACUGACUGCCUGUCGGGAGGAAAUAAUUUUUUCCUCUAAGCCCUGGGAGGGGAAACUGCCAAUCCGUUACCGUUUCCUCCCUCCUAGAUGGCUAUCUGCGAAGUAAAAAGAUUUUAUUUUUUUCUCUCCUUCUGCAACAUGGCCAUCCUGUUACAUCAAGUUGUACUCUGUAAGAUUUGAGGAACAGGGGCCAGCAAACUUUUCCUGCAGAGGACCAAGAUAGUCAUUAUUUCAUACUUUGCCAGGCACAUGGUCUCUAUCACAAUCACUCAGCUUCGCCGUUGUUGUGGAGAAGACGAUGUGUAAAUGAACAGUGGGCCUGCAUUCCAAUAAAGUUUUAUUGACAAAGAUAAAGUACUUUGCCAAUCCCACUACUUGUGGGAGAUGAGGCAUCUCUUGACAUGUUUCUGAAUUUCUUCCUUGGUCUCCCCCUUUUCAUGGGUGGUCCCAGAUGUUGCAGUAGGAGUGGAAUCUGUGCUUGAACUACCACUGCCUGAAUCCCAGCUUGUGCUUAUUCCUACCUCAUCACACUUCCUCUCCCGGGACACAAUUUUCAUCUGCUGAGGCCGAGAGUGAGGACUCCCUCCCUUUGCAGGAGGCUUUAAUGGUUCCUCCAUUGCCCACCUGAUAAGGGGUCAUUCCCUCAGCCUGAUCUUCCAAGUCUACCAAAGUAGGAUUCCAUCCUCCCUCUUCCGGUUUCUGAUCCACUGGGUUUUACUUAAAAUUUCCACUGCAUUCAUCCAUAUUUGCCCCUCACUCUCCUCUAAACGUCUCAGCUGCGUUUCCAUUGCUGCUUCCAGCUCUGUAUGGCUCCCCUGCCUGGAACUGCUUUUGAUUUUCCUGCCCACUUAUCUGUCUUUCUCCACAUUCAAGUCCAGUCCAACUCUAAAGAAAGGAAUCUGGGUUAAGUUCUCUCCUGGGUAUUCUUUACAUGAGCCCCCCCUACCGAAAAUUCUCCAAUGCCUUUCAGUCAUACUCACCAUGGUUUGCCAAGCCCUGCGUGCUCUGUCCACUGACUACCACGACCUCCUCUCCUGCAAGUGUCUCCCACACCCUCCUGUCUCUGCACGCAUCUAGCUUCGUGGGUGUCUUCGGGCCAUAUUGGCACUUGCCUACCUCAGGGACUUUUACUUGGAAUGGCCUUCCUCUUUUUGUCUAGGUAGUUAAGUGACUACUUCUCCCAUCAUUCAGGCUCUGCUUGCGUAUGCUCUCCUUCAAGAGCCCUUCCCUCGCUGCCUAAUCUAAUGCAGCAUACCCAAAGCCAUUGUGAGACCCUGCUUCAUUUUGUUUUCAUAAUAGCCUGCAUUGAAAACCUGACACUCUGUUAUAUAUUCAUUUGUUUCCUUUCCCCUCGACUGAAUGGAAGGAUCCUCAAAAAGAGGGCCCUUUAAUGCUUUGUUCAUCAAGCUGGUCAAAUGUUGAAUCAACGCUGUUGACUGAAAGAAACCAGCAGGGUGAAACUUACUAUGGGGAAAACAGCACAAAAAACAAACAAACAAAGCAAGCAUCAGGUGACUCCUUGCACCAAAUCUCUUGAUAAUCUCUGCUGGCUCUGAGAUUUGGUGAUUUGGGGUGAUAUCGUCUCUCUCUCUGAAAAUCAGCUCAUCCUCCUGAUGUCUGCAUUUCUGCUAAUGGAUCCAUCAUUCUUUCACCCAUCCAAGUUCAAGAACCCAGCCAUCUGUUAAAGCCUGUUAUCAGGCCCUGUCUCCAUCCUUCAGCUCAGCUUCCUCUGUAAGUUAGCUUCAUGACACUGGCAGGCUGUGUCUAUGGGGCAGGGAGGAUGGCCGCAAAUAUUUCCAAUUUAUUUUCUCCCGAUUUAGCAACAUCAGCUAAAAAGGUACUUCCCUUUCCCAAUGUCUGUGUAUCAAUCCAGGAAAAGACAUUAAUGGCCCUCCUUGAGUCACAUGUCUGCCACUGAGCCAAUUGUUAUCUUGGAGGAUUGGUCUUUAUGAUCAAGCUUUCUGUAUCCGCCUUUGCGGCUGGGGGUGGGGGUGCGCUACACUGACUGAAGUCCUAACAGGACCAUUCAGAAUGGGGGCGCAUGUCCCUCAAAGGAAGCAGAGGUAUUGGGCAGCCAAGAGCAGCCUGCGUCCGCUCCACAGAUGCCUCGGAUCCUGGAGCUACAGGGCUGUGGAUGUAGGAGGCUCUGGGAGAGAUCGUUGGGUCAUUGGUUCCUGAAGGCAGGCUCUUUCUCCUCCUGAGCACUGGCUGUGGAUUACUUUCAAGCUGGACUUUCCAAAACGUACCACACAUGUUCUAUCUUCUUACUUGCCUCUGAUGUUUUCUCUUCCUGGAAUGAUUUUGUCCCCCAACUCAAUCUGAACCCAUACAGAAAAAAAAAAUGCUUUUUUUCAAGAUGCAUUCUGAAGCUCUCCUAAAAUCUUUUCUGAGGCUGUUGCCCUUGACUCUUCAUGGCUUCUGAUUUAUGUAGAUCUUUAUUUUGUGCACUUGUGUGCUCUCCUCUAAGUUAACAUGUUGUGUGUUAAGGGCUUCCUUCUUCUGAUGUAUUUUCAUACGCUUUCUGGUUCAUAGAAUGUGCCUCUCACAUAGAAGACAUAGUUAAUGUUUGUUGGAUUGGAUCUCAUUGGGCUGAAUUGAACGUGCCACUCUUCCUAACUUCUUCAGUCUGUAUCAUUCAUUUGAUAGUUACAUUUGUCAAUUUCGAUUGUUAAUUACUCAUUUAGGCAUAUUUGUUGACCUUGUAUCAUCAUUAACCAGCCUAGGGCCUUCACGAUAUUCGGUCCUCAAAAGAUGUGCCAUUCAGUGUGAUGAAUGCUGAUUGUGUGCCUACCAUAUGCUGGGCUCUGUGUUUAGGGCUAUGGCUGUGACAGAGAACCUGAUUGGCCUGGUUGCUCCCUUCACGGAGCUUACAGUCCCGUCCGGUGGUCAGAUAAUGUAAUGAGCGCUUAUAGAACUGUGUGUUGAGAGCUGAGAUGGGAGGGCAAGGGUGGCCAUCAGAGAACAUGAGUGCCUUGGGGGAAAGGGUCGCCUCUGCCCUGUGUAUGAGAUGAAUGACUUUGCAAGGUAAAAGGGGAAAAACAGCCAUUUCCUUUCUUGAUUAGGUCAAGUGUCACCUUCUGCAGCUUAAGCUGAACCCCUACCUAGGGGUUCUAUUCUUCUGGGUUUUCAUGGUCCUCCCUUUUAUCCUUUCUCACUGCAUUUAACACAUUAUAUUGACGUCUUCUAUUUAUAGUUUGGCUUACACACAGAAAAGAGAUUGUAUCUAACUCAACACGUCUGUCUCUGUGUGUCUAGCACUAUGCUUGGCAUAUAGUAAGUGCUCAAGAAAUUUUUGUUGAAUGCAAAACUGAGCGAACCAAGGUGCCCCUGGGUUGGGUUGCGGUAAACGAGAGGUUCCUCUGAAAGCUCCACAUAUUAAUGGCCACUUUGUGGCCUGGAUAAUGUACUCAAUGUUCAUGGGGAAUGGCUCCUUGUUACAGAAGAAAGGGUGCAGGAGCUCAGGGACAAAGGCUGAUGUUCUGAGAUUGUUUGAAGCAAGAUAAUCUCACAGCUAGUAACAAGGAAUCACAUGACCCCUUGUGCUAGACUAGAGGACAAGGAGACCUUGAGUCCCAACUGCAGGGUGGGAGGUGUAGCUAUUAUCUUCCACCAAGAGGUUACUAGAAAGUACACCUCCUCCCCGUUCCUAAAAGUCAGGGCCAUGGCCUUGUCUGGGGCCCUGUCCUGUUUUGAAGAAGGUUGUGCUUUGGCCCUUGCUUGUGGUUUCCUUCUUCAAAAACAAAACUGUGCUCAGUCCUUGAGUAAACUGUAUUCUCUGCUGGGGAAGGGGGCCGAAGCAAUACCAGCAAAAGCUAACACUGGACACUGAACUAGCAGGUGCUCUUGGGCACUGGUGGGAACUCCCAGCGCAGGGGAGGGGAAGGAGAGAGAAUUGUGGUGGUUAUCUGCUGGCAUCCAUAACGUGAUAACUACCAGUUAUUAUCAUUGCUAACAUUUCACAGUCAUUAUGCCCUAACUUUGUGUCAGCCCCUGUAUUGAUGACUUUACGUGGACAUUCUCAUUUGUUCCAGACAACAACCUCGCGUGGUGCGGACUCCCAGCAUCUUCUUUUUGCAGACGGGUAACUGAAGCAUGGAAUAAAUUACUGAGCAUUGUUCUGUGCCAAGCAGUCUAAGUGGUGCCUAGAGCCCAUGUAAUCCCCACAACGGUUCCACGUAGCAGGUCCUAGUGUCAUUCCCCGCCUACAGUUAUCCACGAGAUAAACUGAGACCCUAAGAGGUGAAGUCAUGUGCUCAGGGCCAAGCAGUAAAUGGGGAUGGGAUUGGAGCCCAUGUCCGCUUGAGUUGGAAGCCCACUGAACCACUCACCUGCCUUCACGACGCAUUAUCUGCCUCCUCUGUCAGAUGUGUGUCUGCAGGCAACAAGGGGUUUGGGGAGUAUCUAGGGGUAGAAAGAGCAACCAGGAUAUCUGAAGUUUAGAGACCUGAAAUGUUUUAACAAAACCAAUACAAUAGUGCUCAUUAAUUUUGUGUAUCUCGGGCACAGGGACUUUGCCCGAGUCAUCUUGAAGUCUGGCAGUUCCUCUGAGACAUGGUAGCCAUUACCCCUGUUUUACAACAUAACAAACUGAGACUUCAGAAGGCUAAGUCACUUGCCAAACGUUACUAAGCUACUCAGUGCUGAAGCAGUGCUUUCAAUCUGGCUCCACCCACUACCUAAGCCGGUACUGGCGUAGGCUCUUCUAUGAGACCUCUACCUUGGUUUUCAUGUCUAUACACAUCACCCCAACUUGAUCUGCAAAGCCACAAGGUGAAAGCCUCUAGGAAGAUAACAUUACACCCAGGAAGGUUACAUCUUUUAUGACAGGCAGAACAGGCCACAUUAAGUGCUUAUAAUCAGGAUUACUGCCCAGAGCAUCCUUCUAAAGGGGUGGCUUCAUGUAUGUGCAGUAAGGAAAGUCAUACAGGUCCUCAUGCUCAGAAGAGCCCCACGCUUGGUGUAACAAUCUGCUGCUACCACUUUGGAAUUCUGGAUAAGCUUAUAUUUGAACUUGAGUUUUGUCAGUGAAGUCCGAUGGAGCAAUAGAACACGUAAGUGAUCAGAGGAGAUAGGCACAACACUGCAUCUGUUGUUCAUUGGCACCCCGGUCACAUAUAUAGUUUUUGCCAUGCCCCGUGAGGACAGAAUUCUGGGGGGCCCAUGAUGCAUGGGAGUUGGCAAGAUUCAAAGUCAGUAUCAACUGUGUGUGCUAUGGAAGCUGCCACUGCCAUUGACUGUAUGUCGUAUGCAUGUAUGUUGAGAAGGUGCAAUAAAAAUAAUUGAGUUGGUUUGUACAGUAUUUCCACUGUUGGUGAGAAUGAGAUACGUAUGCAUGCACGAACUACAAAAUGCAAAUCGUGUAAUAUUGGUGAUUCCGCACGAGGGUCAAAUGCUCUCGUAUCUGCACUUAACAUAAAGUACAACAUAAAGAUGGAGGGUAAACUUCAUGCCAGUAGUUUACAAUUUUAAUUAUGCUUUCUUUAGAAUGACAUUAAAUAGCAAAUAAAAGACACCAUGACAAGUCAAGAGUAAGGCUGUGGAAGAAAGGAAAAAGCUUUGUAUCUUAGUGCUUUGAAUAGUACUUUUCCCUCCUGCCUUUCCAAGGGGAACCACAUUUUCAUUAGGUCUUUAGCCCUGGCCCCUUGUGAGAACAGCAAACUGGGGCUUGCCCCAAGUGCAGGAGGUGGCGAUCCCCAGCGUGCCCACAUCUGAGCCUGCUGGCCCGCUCUGGGUGGCUGGGCUCAGGGGCAGAAGGAAGCACUAAGCAUGUGGGUUGUGGCAUUGCUGUUCCAAGACUUCAGUGUUCUCCCCAGGCUCCAUCUCUGAAUGCCUUUUCUGGGGGGUCCGGGACUGAAUGAAUUAGAGAAGAGUUAUAAGUAAAGUGACAGAAGGAAGAGAGAGCUAGGGAAUGUGUGGAGGAUUCUUCUCCCCAUGGGAUUUGGUGAUGGAGGCAGGCAUGGCUGGCUUUCAGAGGCUCCAGGAGCAAGAUACCUGGGCACAUCAGUGAGGCUGUUGGGUGCUCCAUGGCUUGGCUGUCUCUGUAGUCACAGGUUCCUAACGAUGCUUCUGGGGCUGGAAAGGCAGUCCCUGGUGAGCGUGGCCUCCUGGGAGCAUACAGCUGCUUGGAGGCUGAGGCCCAGCUGGAACUUGUCAGCGGCCUGGCAGGUGGAGCGCCCUGAAGCAUUUUUCUUGCCUGGACACCGGCGGCUCUCUGACUUCAAAGCUGGAACACACUGACCCGGAACACAGUGACCUUGGCACAAUUCCCUCCUAUCUCCUCUCCUGCUCACCAAGCAGAGAGGAGGGAGCCUAGCUCCCUUGCACUGGCUCUUUCCUGCUUGGAGGCCAGGUUUUCCUUAGCUCCAGACCCUAGGAGAAAGGAGAGCCGGUGGCCACUGCCCCUCCAAGCGUCUGGGGAGCCAGACUGGAUUCCACCAGACUUAGAAUUUGGAAUUUUGAUGAAUUGUGUGUCUGCCUGUGAGGUUUUCUCUCUCCAGGCACCAGCUCUGAGCGAGACCUGCUAAUAGGAGUACCUGCCUCUGCUUUAGAAAAAUUAAAGAGUGGAGCCACCUCCUACCUGCCAUCCAGCCUCUCAAAUGCCAUCUGGUUAUGGAUGAGUCAAAUUCGAUCAGAUUGAGCUGACAGUUAUUAAGGGCUCAUCGAACCUCAAUCUCCUCAUCUUUAAAAUGGAGAUCAUAAUAGAAACUUCCUAGGGUCAAAACGAAGAUUGAAGCUAACGUGCGUAAAGUGACUAACAGUGCCUGGCACAAGGCAGCAAGCAAUCAAAAUCAAAAUAAUAGCCGCUGGCACCAUCAUCAGAGUUAUAAUCGUCCUAGGCUGACUUGUCGUACAUUAUCUCUCGUCGUCACUGAUUACUCUGGGAAGUAGGUACUAUUAUUGACACAACUGCUUCUCAGCUGGGAAACAGGGUGGGGAGCUACAGAAUCACCCUUCCACACUCACAUCGCUAGUACGUAUUGAGAUGGGGUCAUAUAACCUGGUCUGUCCCACUCCAUCUUGGGACUUUCUUUCUCUCUCCAUCUGUAUAUAUGUGUGUGUGUGUGUGUGUGUGUGUGUGUGUAUACACACACACACACACACACACACACACAUAUAUAAUCUGUAUAUAUUCCCCCUCCCCCUUGGCUUACCUCCAUGAACAAUGGAAGUAGAGUAUGGUUUAUGUUGUUAACGCCUGCAGAAGGCUUGUUUUCCUCAUUAUCAUCAUUAUUAUCAAUAAUAAACCUAGAGAGAGCUAUCAACAUUUGUAUAGGACUUAGUAGUUUAUAAGAUACUUUCACUCAGAUUCUUUUUUUGGAAUCUACAAUCCUGCUUUUGUAUAUGAAAAGAAAUAUAGGAAGUCUUGAGACAAUGACUUCGUGGGGAUACUUUCUUCUGAGUUAAGGCCUUAUUUACAUAUGCCAGGGAAUGAUUAGCUACUUCCUGGGCUAUGUACUGAUGUGACCUGCUUUAAUCUCAACUCUGCCAUUUAUGGGCUAUGUGACCUCAAUCGUUCUGUGUCUGUCUCUUCAUCUAUAAAAUGGGGAUAAUUAUAACACUAUGAAGCAAUGUGUAAAAACGGCCACCCAUAAGAGCUUGAUCAGUAGUAGAUAUUAUUAGGCUGAGAAAUACCCGUGUUCUGCUCUUUUUUUGCAGAAGCAGCUGGGUAAAAUUGGACUUAAAGGCUUUAAGUUAGAGAAUACCAAGGAAACCAACGAGCACUUGGGGAAUUAGGCAGAACUCCCAGUGUUCUAGGAUAAUCAGAAAUGGCAGUGACCAAGGGUGGGGUUUUGGUUCAGGACUAAGGACAGUUCCAACUUGCUCCCUGCCCCCUCAUUGGGGACACUCUGCUUGUAGGGUCUGCAGACACAUCUUCCACCUCAGGACUUCCCUGGUCUGUACUUGCCACAAUCUCCCAACCUCUCUGCGUCUGCCCACGUCAUUCUUCCCAUCUGAAAUGCUUCUCUUUCCUUUCUUAUCACACAAUAUUUCUAACACAGCAAGAAGCAUGGGGACUUUGCGCCUACCACUCCAAUUUAACACAUGUUGACAUUUUGCCAUCAUUGAUCAUGAUCUUUUGGUUUUUUAAAAAGGAAAGUUGGCAGAGGUCAUUAAAGUUCCCUUGGUGUCCCUCCCCAUCGUAUAUCUCUCCUACCUGCCCAGAGGUGACCACUGUUGUAAAGCUUGUGCGCAGCCUUCUGGAUCUUCCUUUCUCUACCACCAGUUCCUGUCCAGUCACCCGAGCCCUCUACACUUUUUAAAAGCAGAGCCAAAGUCCCACUCCUCUAGCUCAUGAUGAUCCUUCUUGCAGAGGGCUGUUUUGCUCAAUCUUAGAGGAUUUUCUAGGAUUUGUCAUGUAUCAUCUUAAGCAUUUAUCAACAUGUGCUGAACAGCCCCUACUCUGAGGCAGUGAUUUUCCAUUUGCUGGGGUUGAGAAAAGGAGUUCCACAUGGUCUCUGCCUCUGAGAGCCCUUGGAGCAUGGCACAUGGCCACAGUGUUCACAUAGGACUUAGAUCUCACAUAAACCCUUGGGGCCUUGAGACCCAAGGCUGGAAGCAGCACCAGAAUAAAAGGUGAGGUAGAAAUACCCAGGGUAUGUCAUGCCUUGAGUAGUGUUCUCUAAACAUAUCAUCUGAUUUAAAAUUUCAAAACCCAGGGAAAUGAGUGUUACAACCUUCCCUUAAUAGAUGUAAAGUCAAGGCUCGAAGAACCAUCAAACUAAGAAGCUCAGUUAAGAAACACAGCUCAUAUUUGAAUUAGGGCUUCCUAAAGCCACUAUCCAUCUUUAUCUGGUUCCUUGUUUGUUUGUUUAUUCAUUCAUUCAUUCAUUUAUUAUGAGGAAGAGAGGAGAGAGGAGAGAGGAGAGAGGAGAGAGAGAGAGAGAGAGAGAGAGAGAGAGAGAGAGAGAGAGAGAGAAUGCAUGAGGGUAGGGGAGGGACAGAAAGAGAAGGAGAGAGAGAAUCCCAAGCAGGCUCCAGCCCAGUGCAGGGCUCCAUUUCACUACCAUGAGAUUAUGACCUGAGCUGAAAUCAAGAGCUGGUUGCUUCAUGGACUGAGCCACCCAGGUGCCCUUUUGGUUCCCUCUUUAGACCAUGAACGACUUGAAGCAGAAACUGAGCCUAACUCAUCUUCUGUUCCCAGGUGCAGCACUAUCAUUUAGCAGGUAUUUGAUUUAUGAAAGUUUAUGUUGCCUUCCAUGUCCAGGGUACCAAAGAAACAAGGACACAUAGGGCUCUGCCUUCGAGGAGCUUACCGUCUAGAUGAGAAGGCAGAGAAGUGGUGCCUAAAUGCCCAUCACACAGCAUGAGAUUCCUACCCUGAAUGGGAGAUGGAAUUAUAUUUUCUGUACUAGUCUUGCCUUUUAAAAACAUCAGGACAAAGCACCGAAGACCCAACAUGCAUUCGGGAGGGAAUUCUGCAUUAUGUAGCCAGGCCAACUCUCCUCUCCCCAUGUCUGACAUUCCUGGUUUCAUCCCUGGCUUUUCCAUUCAUCCUCUGCUCUGUUACCCUUCCUACUCUGGGCUCAAACUUGCCACCUGGGUUCUCAGCUAUCUUAUCUCCCUUUGGUGUCUCUUGUUGUCUUGAUGAAAAUCUUGAUGAAAAUGCUUCAACUUUGUGACAGCCCAUUAGCUGAAUCAGACCCUACUCCCUGGUUCUCCUUAUUCCUUCCCUUCACUACCUCCAGAGGAUGUGGCUUCAGAGGUACACUACCCCCUAAUGCCCCUUCCAGAAUAAGUGUCUUCUCGAAAAUAGAGUCUGGGGGCGCCUGGGUGGCGCAGUCGGUUAAGCGUCCGACUUCAGCCAGGUCACGAUCUCGCGGUCCGUGAGUUCGAGCCCCGCGUCAGGCUCUGGGCUGAUGGCUCAGAGCCUGGAGGCUGUUUCCGAUUCUGUGUCUCCCUCUCUCUCUGCCCCUCCCCCGUUCAUGCUCUGUCUCUCUGUCCCAAAAAUAAAUAAACAUUGAAAAAAAGAAAUUAAAAAAAGAAAAUAGAGUCUGGGGCAGGGGCUCUUAACCUCUGGGUGGCAUGGAUGACCUCGUCAAACUAGUGAAGCCCAGGACCACUCCUCCAAGGAAACUAGUUAUAUUGAGAUGCAGUUACCAGUCAGGGGAUCUAUCUAUCUAUCUAUCUAUCCAUUCAUUAUCUAUCCAUCCAUCCAUCCAUCCAUUAUCUAUCUAUCUAUCUAUUCAUUAUCUAUCUAUCCAUCCAUCCAUCCAUCCAUUAUCUAUGUAUCUAUCCAUCUAUCCACCCAUCCAUCAUCUAUCUAUCUAUCUAUCAUCUAUCUAUCUCACUGUAUUCAUUAUCUGUUGCUGAGCAAUGAAGUUAACAUAUUAAAACAACAACAUCUAUUAUCUCACAGUUUCUGUGGGUCAGGGAUCUGAGCAUGGCUUAGCUUGGGUUUUCUGGCUCAGGGUCUCUCCUGAGGCUGCAGUGUGGGUGUUGGCCAGGGUUGCAGUCUCUUAAGAUUGUCUGGGAUUGAAACUGCUUUCUAAGCUCACUCACACAGUUGUUAGCAGGAUUUUGUUUUUCAUGGGAGGUUGAACCGAGGGCCUUAGUUCCUCACUGUUUGUUGGCCAGGGGCUACCCUUAAUUCCUCUCCAUAGAGCAGCUCACACAUGGCAACUGGCUUCAUCAGAGUAAGUGAGAGGGAACACAAGUGAGACAGAAGUCACUAUCUUCAUAGUCUCAUCUUGUAUGUGAUAUCCUUCACUCUUGCCAUACUCUAUUCAUUAGAAGCGGGUCACUAGGUUCAGCCCCCAUUCACAGGAAGGGAUUAUCCAGGGUAUGAAUACCAGGAGGUGUGGUCAGUAAGGAUCCUCUAGGGGCAUGGGUACACAGAUAUUGCAAGUGCUUAUUGAUGAAGGCAUUAAGUAAGAUCUAAGAGGUCCAAUAACUAAUGUAACUUUGAAGUAGACAUAAGUACCUGCAAAGGCUGACACAUGAUAUGAAAUUAUCUGUGAUUCUUGCUGGUGAUAAAAAUCACAGAUCUUAUUAAUAUUGGGGCUUGUUGCCUACAUUCACAGGGGAUAAAAAUGCUGAAUUUCAGUUAGAGGUGAGGGAAAGUAAGUGCAUUUUUUGCUGCAUCCAAAUACACAGACUCCCAGCAAUCUGUCUUCUGAUCCUUGUAAAGAGUCCAUAGACUGAAGUUAAGAUCCCCUGCUCAAGAUGCGGAAGACAGACAGAUGAUGUGGACCACCUACUCGAAGUAAUUGAGCCUCCUUGGGGCUAAAAGAUGUUCCAAGAGGGUUUACAAGGUGACCAGAAGUUAGUGGGGGGGGGGUCACUAUGGGUCCAGGUUCUGGUUCUUAACCUUACAUGUUUGUAAAAUAAUUUUUUGGUAUAUAUUCUAAGGUGAUCAGGAUUUAAAAUUAGGCAUAUGAGCAAGAUUCAUAAGAGGCUAAUGUAUAAUACAUAUUUUACUCAAUCACUAGUUCAUUUAACCACUCGCAUGGUCUUCCACUCUUUCAGCACACAUUGUUGAGCACAACACUUUCUGACCGCUACUGUUGGCCAGGCACAGAGAUAUAUGUUAGGGCCCAUGGUAUCCAAGAUGUAAUUUAUGACCAGGAGUUCAUGGUUGUUCACAGUGGUCUUUGACUUUCCUUUCACACAGAUGUGUGUGUGACCUUGACUGUAUGGAGAACCAUUCUCUUUUCCAACUGUUCCUGCACUAGCCUACCUCCACACAGAAAUUUCCACAGUCUCAGAAGAACUGGAGAGGAAGCUUCUUCCCUAACUUACUCCUUCCCAUGAAAGAAUGGCUUUUCUGACCGGUGAGGCUGGGACCAGGGCCUCUACCUGGCACUGGCAUGCUAUUUAAUCUCUCUCUGUCUCUUUUUUUAAAAGUUUAUUUAUUUAUUUUGAGAGAGAGAGAGAGUCGGGGAUGGGCAGGGAGAGAGGAGAGACAGAGAGAGAGAAUCCUAAGCAGGCUCUGCACUGUCAGAGCAGAGCUCUAUGUGAGGCUCGAACUCAUGAACCUUGAGACCACAACCCAAGCCAAACCUAAGAGUCAGAUGCUUGACCAACUGAGCCACUCAGGCACCCAGUUCUCUCUAGAGUCACACAUGUUCUCUCAGCUCAUACCUUUGCUAUAAGUCAGGCCACUGGAGCAGACCUUAUCCUGAGUCAGGGUAAAAGAGGGAUAGGAGGGGUGAGGAAGAGAGCGAGGGAAGACAGGAGGAAGGCCUGAAGUUUCAUGGCUGCAAUGCAGUGAGUAAGCCCCUUGGAAGAAGAAGGAACAGGAAGCAUAUUUUGGACUCAGUCCUAAGCCAUGUUUUCUAAUCCGUAUUUAUCACCAUAAUGCAUAUAGUCCAUCCCUACCUAGCUCCCAGGUCUGUGGCUCAGCUGGAGGGGAGAGGGGUGUAAUUAUCACCAAACAUUUUAUCUCCUCCCAUGGCCAUACCCAGGGUGACACACAGUUCACCAUGCCCUAGCCACAGCUCAUACUUAUUUCUCCUAUGCAAGAAUGUCACUGCUUGUUUUUAAUAGAGGUUUUACUUUUAAAGUUUAUUUAUUUUGAGAGAGAGAGAGAGAGAGAGCGAGCGCACAUGAACAGGGUAGGGGCAGAGAGAGAAUAGAGCGAGAAUCCCAAGCAGGCUCCAUACUCUCAGUAAAGAUCUGCCUGAUGUGGGGCUCAAUCCCACAAACCAUGAGAUCAUGACCUGAACCAAAAUCAAGAGCCAGAUACUCAACUUACUGAGCCCCCCAGACACCCCCAGAAUGUUAUUAUUAAGGUCAUAAUUCAUUUCAAUAGGUCUUCAUUCAACAAAUAUGUAUUAGACACCUAUGACGUGCCAAGCAAUGAUCAAGACACUAGAGAAGGCGGCAAGCAUAAGACAGAGUGCCUGCUCUCCUGUUGCUUAUAUCCUGGAGGACAGAGACAUGUAAUAAAAAGUACACCAAGAUAUGGACAAGAUCCUGGAAGUGCUUCAUAAGUAAAAGGCAGCAGACUGGAGAGAGAAUGACCAGGGAUACUCAUGUUUGACAUGGUGGCCAGGGAAGGCCACUGUCUGUGAAGAUAGCAUUAGACUGAGACCUGCAGGGAGGAGCGGGGCAGGUGGUGUUUGGCUGGAGAACACUUCAGGCAGAGAGAACUGCCUGGGCUCUUAGGCUUGGCAUGUCUGAAGAAAGAAAGAAAUUUGUAUAUUUUUACCUGUGUUCAAAGAAAUAUAUGUGUAAUAUAAUCAGUUGUAUGUGCCAGCGGUAUGAAUGAAUGCAUAUCUACCAAAGUAAGAGUUCUUUCUGGGCAUACGCCAUACUUAUUUUGUCUACCACAAUUUGGGAAAACUAAUCACUCACCUGAGAACUUGGAGUGAUUCUAGAGACUCAAAUACCUACCAGCCUCUGUGCCCAUCUUUCUAGAACAGGUCUGGAUAAUUCCAGUCUUGGUCUAUUUAUUCUAGACUCUACACACCCCUUCUCUAUGUUGAAUGACUUUAUCUUCAGAUGAAUAUACCUUAGACUUUUAAGCAAUCCAUUCAUCUGGCUAUUCCUUCAUGCACUUUCAUCUAAGGAGAUUUCUGAUUUCUUUAAAGCUCUGGGUCUUUCCUUUGUCCGUGGGAAAUGCUCAACCCUCAAAGAUCUCUGAAAUAUUAUAAAUAUUCACCAUUAGGCAUUAAAAUUCUCUUUGCUGGUUGUUGGUAAGUUUCUAUCCGGGGAGCCAGGUGUGCUAGCAUUUCUUCCUCUCUGUCCCCGCCUGUCACUGCCACUGGGUCAAACCACACUCCAUCCAGCCGGCAGAUCUUUCUGUCUCCCUCUCCUCUAGGUUCCCUUUGGCACCAAAUGCAAAUUGAAGAGCCCAGAAAGAGGACCUAAAGAGGGGGCUUCCUGGUGGGCAUGAGUGAGUCACCGGCAGAAUCACCGCUCCUUCUCCCCAUGUGAUGAGUCACGAGUGGCUGGUCACCCGGACAGAGAAUGUGUCAGUCUCUCUCUUCCCUCUGCCCUCCACGUGGGCCCAUCAGAGACAUUUGACCCAACUCUAUGAGAAACUUCAACCAAUGAGGAGGGUAGGAAAGCCCUGCUUUCUAGAAGGUUGAGCUGCAGCUUAAAUGUUGUGACAGAGACUCAAGAUAGGUUUGUCCUCCUGGCUAGCAACCACCGAAGCCACGUCCUGGUGACUCAGGACCACUUCCUCCACAGAUACAGAUGCUCUAUUUUUUCAUCUGAAUGUGGUCUCAUCCUUAUGGUGUCAUUUCAUUUGCCAGGAGCAACUCAGAACAAAUGAGGGCUACUUCCUGCAAGGCCAAGAAUAAUAACAGCUUCUGUGAAUUAGGUACCCACUCUCCGAAGCGCUUGGCGGCCGUGGUCUUUUACUUCUUCCACUUUCUAACAUCAUGCUGUGCUCUAGACCAUGAAGCCAACGCGCAGGGAGCUUCAACAAUCUCUAGGUUCUCAUGGUAGGAAAGGGGAAAGCAGAGGUUAGAAGCAAGUGGCCAUAUAAUUCAUCAUCCAAAUCAGGGUACUUUUGAGAGUAAAAGGGAGAGAUUAUUAGGACUUUUGCUAGGCAGCAGAGGUAAGGGUCGAAUGUUCCAGAAACUCAGAAUAUAUGGAUGCUUGGAUUUUGAACCAGUCUUUUCGGCUCCAAAACUCUGCUCUUCCCCCACUCAUCCUAAUGAUCCCCAGCAAGGUAACAGGAGGGAUUGGAGUCUAGCUCCCCCACUCCCUUUGUCACCUUGUCACUCCCUGAAUCUUCCCCCUCUCUUCCCAUCCCGGGAUAUCGGGAGGAAGUCCAAACCUCUGUGCUUUGAAGAAGUCCUGUGGGUGAUUCUGAUGUGUUGCCAGGUGGAAGGCUCCUGAGUUCAAUGCUGUGGUUUUGGGGAACACAAAGUCACUCUUGCUCACUCUUGUAUCUUAGUAGCUGAUGCAUAGAGAGGCAGUAGGUGGUUAAUAAAUGUGCAGUGAAUGAAUGAAUCAUCGAGUGAAUGGAAUUCUGUACAGAGACAAGCAGGGAUGAGAGUCCCCGUGCGUCGGCGGGGAUAGCCAGCCUAGAAAGAGAAAUGAAAAAGAGGUAAACAGCAGGCGCAUCUCCCAGGCGAGGCUUCAGUUUCACCUUUAACGCGGAGCCACCGAAUGUUCCGAGCAGGAGACUGACACUCUCCGCUUUGCAUUUUGGAAAGAACACUCCCACAGUUGUUUUCUAGGUUCGGCCUGCGGGAAACUGGACACUGAAGGUAUUUAAAACAUGUUUUCAAAGGGCUACUGAGUGCCCAGCAUGAUAUGACCUUUUACAUAUUUGAGAAUUCUCCAAGCUGGGCACGCACCGCCCCUGUUCAGCGUCAACCUCGGGACACGCCUCUCUGGCAACCAGUCACCCCCGUGGGGCAUCUGGGAGUCACUCUUGCAGGGGAAUCGGUGCUCCCAGUGUGUUCGCUAGCUUCCCCCCCAGUACCAGGAUCUCCUUCCUGCUGGAGGGCUUGGACACCGUGUGUCACAGCCCUUCAGCUGGGGAGAGGGUACCUGAGGGGAUCGCAGACGCGGCUGUUAACUUUUCUCCAGAGCGGUGCUGUGGUUGUUAUUUGCUCCACCAGGGCAGCCCAGGGGACCUUGCUGGUUGCAGCCCUGUGUCCUGGGGCUUCCCACAGAGCUUUGCCCUGUCUGGUCUGCAGGCCGCGAGGCUGGGUGAGAUGAAAAGACAUCGUUCACACUUAAUGGUGACUGGAACGCUCUCUCUAUAAAACCAGUUGAUGUGGAGACCAAUUCAUAAGCACUUCACAGUCCAACGAGGGAUGGCAGAUCCCUGGUAUUGACCCUUUAAUUGGCUCCCCACCAGGGACAGACUUCUUCUGAGACAGUUCGCAGACCUGGGGCGGGGGUGGCCAGGCCCAGCGCUCACCGGUUUGGGCCUCACCUCCUCUCUCUUGCUGAAUUCUGACUCACACCGAAUUCUGACUCCCCCUUUCCACAAGUAUUUACGCACCAUGUCAGGCCUUUCCCCAGGCUGUUCACAGAGAUAUUGUGAUUUAAUCCUCAGGCUUUGUCAGCAUUCACUGACAGUCUUCUGCUUGUGUCUCUCGGGCCGGAAUGAGCUAAGCGCGACCCUUGCUAUAAGGUGGGCUGGGGACUCCUGAGACGUGCUUCCCGGCUCCCUUGUUGGAGGCAGCAACGGGGAAGAGGGAGGGAAGGGGCGUUACAGUAGUCAGCUGGCAUUGUUUGGGCCACAGCUACUGCUGUGGUCCCCAUUAUGCAGAGUGGGAAACUGAGUCACACGGAGAGAAGUAACUUGCUCAAGAUCACUGAGCGAGAAGGGAUGGGGACCUGGUUAAAAUCCCAGGCUGACAACGCCCAAGUCUAUGCUGGUAAUAGUUCUCCUGUGGAGACCCUCCCAGGGAGAGGGAGAAGUAGGUGGUCCCGUGGUAUGUGAAGAGACAGAACGUAAAAAUGAUGGUCACCUAUCUCAGGGAGAGAAUGGUACCGAGGACGGGUCCAGGACUCUGCCUGGAAUGGACAUAUUGGAGGAUCACCCAGAAAUAUAAAUAAUACUAUCAAGUUUUUAGGGGACUUUGCCUAUUGGUUCCAAUUCUAAUAACAAACAUAUAUUAUCAUCUUCCUUUAAAAUGAGAUAAUGGAGGCUCGCAGAGGUUAUAUGAUUUGCCCAGAGUCCCAGCUGGACACAAACUGGGUCUGUGUGGCUUCAAAGUCCAAGCGAUGAUUGUGUUUUCUCCGCGCUGCCUUCUUCCAAGGAAAAGCCAGAACAGGAGGCACCGGCUGGCUUCUGUGAAUCGCAUGUUGUUGGAAUUCCUGUCCUUCCUCGACCCAGAUUUGUAAACAGAGGCUUCCGAAGCCAAAGUACACAGGGGCAGAUGCGAAGAAGCAAUCCAACCGGGAGAAAGUCACAUGUGUCCCGGUGGUGCAAGGCCUGAAGCCUGUGUCCCCAAGGACUCCUUCUGAGUCCCCGUUGGGGCUGCCCCGGGCCUGGGGGUCUGCAGACGGCUGGAGCCUGGGCGGUCCGGCCGGAGGGCGCGGCCAGCGGACAGAGCUUCCUUUGCCUCUUCUGGGCUCUUCGCUGAGUCCUUUUAAAGGGAAGCGGGAGCAGGGAAUAAGAAAAGAUAUUUGUCAACUGGAACUUUAAUAACAGCUGCCAUUUACUCACUCAUUCAAAACAACUGCUGGUGCCCCUGCCAGGUGACAGGUUCUGUCCUAAGCGCUGAGGAGGCAGCACGGAUUGAAGCAGAAUCCCUUGCCCUCAAGGAGUUUACAGUGUAGUGAGACAGGCAAUUGGGAAGAUGCGUGCACAUGUAUAAUGGGUGCUAUACAAAGAAGGGGUGCCUAGUAAAGGGAUAAAGACUAAAGAGGCCGAGGACACCUGUUUUUAGCAAAGAAGGUCAGAGAAGACUGGGCUCAGUGACACAGUGAGCAGAGGUCUGAACAAAGCAAAGCAGAAGGCCGGGCAGAUAGCUGGGGCUUGGAUGGUCUUGGCCAAGAGGCAGCAAGUUCAAAUGCCCUGACGAAGGAGCGGGGUGCCUGUCUGGGGCGAGCGGAGAGCCUGAUGAGUGGGGAGGGUCGGGAGACCAAAGCAGAUCCUUGAACCCCACUCUGGACCUCCACAAUCAGAAUUCUGAGCCCUCCAGGUGUUUCUGAUGCCCGCUAAAGUCUGUGAAACCCAGUUCUAGGGCAGAGAUGAGCAAACACUUUCUCUAAAGGCAGAUAGUAAAUAUUUUAGGCUUUGCAGAUCAGAUGGUCCUUGUUGCAAACACCCGCCUCUGCUGGGUAGUCUGCAAGCCGCCAGAGACGACACAGAAAUGAGUGGGUGUUGUUGAGUUCCAGUAAAACUUAUUUUAUUUGUUUGCCAACGUCUGCUCUAGGAGACUGGUUUGGUCAGUUGUUGCUGUGUAACAAAUCAUCCUAAUACUCAGUGACUUCAAAUCACAACCGUGUUUUGCUGCUCUGAUAUCGGCAGCUUCACUGAUUGAGUCUAGGCUUGUCAGAGGAACGUGGGGUGGGGAACACACACUCUGUCUCUAGGGAAAAGAACUGUAGUCUCAUGGCAGAGGGCAUGGAUGAGGCCAAAAAGAGGGAUGAAGAAUUGGGACCAAUAACUCCAUUUGUGAUGGGGAUUAAAUAAAGCAACAUCUGCCAAGUGCCCAGGAGUAUCUAGGCAUAUGGUCAGUGCCUUGUAAAUGCUGGCUACUGUUAUCACGAUUAUUAGUGUUAUUAAUAAUUAUCCCUUCUUUGAUACACAUCAGGGCUGGCAAUUGGAUGAAGUCCAUUCUUUGGGAAGGCUAUUAUGGAUAUCCUCAGUGAUGGGUGUUCCUUACCGUUAGCGUUUAUGACAAGGGGUGUAGGGACUUGUCUGUGUGAGUAGCUUGCGCUUGGCAAUGUAGUUUGCUCUCGGUGCUGGGAGGCUAUUUGUUUAGAGGAGGCACUAAGCCUGGCUUGUCACUUCCUCAUCAGGUGCUGCUCAAAAACAGAUAAGUCAUUCCCAAUAGCCCGGGCACAGUGGGAAUUAAGAACUCACACUCUGGUUUGAAAGAAGAAAUGGGUUGCUUGAUUGGAGCUCAAAUAACUGGGUGUUCUCAAUGAACAAGAGCAUGUUUGGGGCACAUCUGAGGGGGAAGAGGCAAACGAGGAAGUAGCAAACUGGUCUUGGAGAUUCACUCUAUCAAGUAAUGGCUAACGCGCAACGUGUCCUGGCUCAACACAACUUUGGUCCGACUCCUUCACCAGCAGCUCCCACUUGGUCUCUGCAGACCAUGCGCACUGAGAUCACUUGGGGGCCUUAGCAACACAGACACAUCUAUGGGGCCUAACCCUUAGUGAUCCUGAUUUGGGAGGGGAAGAGGGAACACUUUUGCUUUAAAAGCCUUCUGGUGCUCAUGAUGAGCAGUCCGGCGAGGGUGGCACUGGUCUCCCAUUUGUGCAUCACAUGUAUUUACACCGUUGCACAGAGGCCAGGGUUCCCACUCACACCUGAUGGGAACUGGAGAGUUCUGGAUUCUCAGCUCUUAAGGAGCAAAAGCUACGUCUUAUUCAUCCUCAUAGCCCGGGCAAGGUCCUUGGAGAGGCGUGAUGUUACGUCUAGCAUUUACAGGGCUUUCGCUUUACAGGACAGGAGACAGAGGCCCAAGAAGGCUAAGUGACUCUCCCAGGGGUGUGCCAGUGCUGCGUCCCUGACUCUGUGCCCCCUGCCCCUCAGGGUCUGGCCCUUCCAAGCUUCUUCUUGGGAAGGGAACUCCCAUAUCUCUAACAUGUCAGGCCUUGUGCUAGGUGUUUUAAACAUGUUAUUUCAUUUUCUUCUUUAAGAAAUAAAACUUGUUAAAUUAGCAUUAUUAGCUCCACUUUAUAGACCAGAAAAUCUGCUGAAAGUCACACAGCUAAUGAGUGAAGGAAGUCGAGCCAAAUCAAGGUUUAUUUGGUGGACAUAGCGAUUGGAAGGGUGCAGGAGGAGGCUUAUGGGGUCCUGACAGUGCUCUGAUUCUUGAUCUGGAUACAGCUCACUUGGAAGAGGGGCUUCAGGGUGUUAAAAUGCAUCACUGUACGCUUGGGCUUAGUGCAUUCCUCAACGACAAGGUGGGAAAACCAAUCCAGGUAUGUCUGGGUUGCAAACUCAUGCCAUUUUGUUAUGUCCUGCUGCCUCCUACAAUGGGAGCUCAGCUCCUGUCCAAUCAACACAGGGGGGUGUUUCCAUGCGAAGACACAGAGUGUGUAAAAGCAGGGCCUCAGUUAAAAAUCAGGUCCUUUUCUUCCUUGGCCAGUAUUUUUUCUUCUACUUCAACUGCCUCUGUGGAGGUCCCAGCAGGUGCCUAAACGCGACUUCCUGGGAUUACUGUUACAGGGCGAAUGUGUGCUCUCAGAGCUCCCUUUACACAAGACUGAGAAACUUCCCAUAUCAUUGACACGUACAUCCCUAGGCCCCCAAUUCCGACGUCUUCUUUAAAUUAAAAAAAACCCAACAACCAGCUUUAUUUAUGCAUAACUGUCAUAUAAUGAGCUUAUUAUAUUUAAAGUAUACAGUUAGAUGGAUUUAUACUUGUGAGACACUAGGUAUAGUGCCUGGCACAUGACAGGUGUUCAUUUCAUGAUGGCAAUUACUAUCAGAACAGUGGGAAUCAUAACUGUCAUCACACAGAGGUAUUGGGAGGAUCAAUGGGAGGUGUCACAGAGCCUGGCCACCGAGCAGGCAUUCAGUAAGUGGUCAUGCCUCCCACGGCAACUUCACCAACCACCUGCUCCAACAAGAAUGGGAGGUCUAGGAUGACACUCAGAAGGUAGGACCCGGGAAUGGCGCUCACAGAUGGCAGGUGGGUCGCUGAGUCAUGGUGAGGAGCAGAGAAGGAAGAGAUGAGUUGGUGCCCUGGGAGGGAGGCUGCUGGGCACUUGGUAGAGUAGGGUUUGGACAGAGGAGGCCAGGGCUUUGAUGGGGAUGAAGGGGGAAAAUAUUCUGAGAUGUAGGGAGGACAAGUGUGUGCGUGCUGGUGUGUGUGAAUGUGUGUGCAUGUGCGUGUAAAAUAAAGCUCAAUUCAGCAUGUAUUAUGAUGCUCUUGUGGUGUGUCCAUCCUUGUGCUAGAUGCCCGGAGGAAGGCAGAGGGAAGCAUCGUCAGUGGAGAACUGACCCACAACCACACAGUCCCUUCUCAGCGCUCUGUAUAUGAGCAUUUCCAAAGCACUUUGCCAUUGUCUUGUUGCAUCUUCCGGAGUCCCAAGGUUUGGUUAUUAGCAUCUCCAUUUUUACAUAUAAGGAAAUAGAGGUUUGGCAAUACAAAAGGCAGGAUGAGCAAUAAUUUGGUGGCCAGGCAAUAUGAAGACCAGAGCUCAGGCAGGACAGGUGUUGGCUGCCGUGCCAGUCCAGCCCCCUUAAUGAGGUCCAAAGAGGAGAGAUGCCUCCUUCAAGGUCAGGAUAGAGGCAGAGGGUGGACUGGAGCCCAGAUCUCUUGAUUCCGAGUACCCUGCUUUUUGGUCAUCUCACCCACCAUUCAAAACACGUCCAGGAUGCUGCCUCAUUUGGAAGCCUCCCCGACCCAUCCGUAGCCCAGAAAAGUUAAGCAUUUCUGUUAACAUUGAAGCAUCCCCCAAGGUCGUAUUGUUAUUCUUAUUACACUCUGUUCCCACGUAUUUCCUUUUCCGAUGAAGCAAUGAGGGUAGGGACGGUCUUCUGUCAAUGCGUCCCAAUAUCUUCCAUGGUGCUCAGGAAUUGGGGUGCUUAACAAAUAUUGUCUAGUGGAUGAUUCAAUGAAUUCAUGAGUGAACAGACUAGGUCAGACAGAUCUCAUGGAAGGAUAGGAAUUUGGGUUUGGCUUUGAAGUACUGCUCAGAGUUAGAGGGGCAGAGAAGAGAGCAAGGAUGUUCCCAAUGGAGACUACUCGAGGAACAAAGACCUGAGGCAAGAUGGGGAUCCUCACGUCAGUGACCUAGAAGAAGGCCAGGCUGCAGUAGUUUCCAGUUUAGGGAGCAGUUUGAUACAAGGCUGAAGUUGGAAGCAGAAAGCCACGAUGUAGCCCCUGCGGGUCCCAGAUUUCUCAGAUGACACUGAACUAUUCCUUUUGUAUUUGGGGCUGCUGCUCCUUAAGGCUUCCUCUUUGACCUGGAACUUGCUGUGCUGAUUCAUGCCUCAGUCACUGCCAGUCGGGAUUUUUCUCCAAAGUACUAUUCUAGAAACCCCCACUCCCCCCAAGGCAGACACUUCAGCUGUCAUUAGAUGCUUAUUAAGGGAGUGAGUCAGGGUGGUGGCUUAAGACACAGUUUCCAUCCUGCUUCCAUGCCCCCUUCCUCUCAUACCCCUGCCACGCUAUUUCAAGCACUCAAACUCACAAGCUUUGUGGGGAGUGGAAAGAACAUGAGGUCUGAGCUUCCAGACUUCUUGACAAAUCUGUUCUGCAGUUCAUUUGCUAGGUGAACUUGGAUAGAGUGCUUAUACACUCUGGGCUUCCGUUUCCUCAGCAUAAUGCGAGGCUGUUGUAAGGACUGAAUGGGGUCAAGCAUAAAGGGCUCUGCAUAGGAUUUGGGGUACAGCGGGUAUGCAGGAAGUACCAACCGUGCCUGUGGUUUGAGGCUCGUAUGCUCUGAUUCUCCCCACUUCAGGAUAGAGAUGACAGAGUCAUUUUGAUGUGGGUCUCCAACAGGAUCCUGGGAAAUCAUUCCCUCUUUCCUUCCUGGUUGCCAGGUAUGGACCAUCCCUGCAAAAUUCCUUUCUGUGGUUCUCCGGGGUGGGAGGGACUCAGCUCAACUGCUCUGGAAACAGGAACCAUUCACAGCUUCCUGGUCAGCUGCCAGACCCCAUACCACAAGGCCACAAGAGCUGGUUUCUGCUUGGUGGAUUUCACUGAGUUGUCUGUCCUGACACAGAGACUCGGGUCUUUCUUCCUAUCAACUCUGUGCUGACAUGAACAGGCACCACAGCAAGGACCUUUUACCCGAAUGCCCUACUCAGAGUUGAUGAGGCUGUUUGUGGAAUUUGCUCGUUUCCUGACAUCUAGAUGGGCUGUUGGCCUCUGCUGAAGGACUCAUCCAUCUAGCAGCCCUUGACUCUCGUGCAGAGUUCCUACUCUCCCUUCUUUCCCCCCCAGGUCCUCAUUCUAGCAGUCCCCUUGGGCACAACCAUGCACUAGCAUUUUCCUGCCUCUUGUACAUCCAGCUCACUCCCAGCAACACUUAGAGUCUGUUCUCCUUUUGCCCAUACCCUGUGCCCACAGCACUCGAAGGUGUCCUGUUUGGGACCUCAUCAGCCCAGCGAUUCUCUGUUAGACUUGAACUUCCUGUUGUUAAGAGUUAAUGGCAUACAUAUGCCAUCCUUCUUCCUAGGCAAAAAGAACCAUUCUCACUCCCAAAAAAUUAGCUCUAAGGGAGGGAGCUGAGGCACUGAAGUGAGAGUCAUAAAACCACUCAUGGGUUUUGUAAUCUUGGGCAAAUCACUUCACUUCUUUGAGCCACAAGCAUCCAUAUUUGAAAGGGUGGGACUGAUGCUAAUUGCCUCGUGUCCCUCCUCCCUCCACUCCCCAUUCACUGUGAGAAUCAAAUGAGAUAAUGUCUGUGAAAGUGCUCUGUAAACCAGAAGCUAUUAUUAUGAGGAGCCGACCCAUUAUUAUUAAGAACUGGUUUUCCUGGUCCUCCCAGCUCUCCCUCCCUCUUCAUUCCCUGCACUGGCUUAAGGCUGAAGCUCUGCAGAGGGAUACCUUUGGGGCCAGAAAUUAGAAAAAUUCUGCUCUGCUUACCAAGAGAGUCUUCUGAAUUGCUAUGAUUUGAGCUUGUGGAAUCAAAGAAGAAGGAUACAGGGUUCUGACACCAGAAUCUUUCUUGGCUUGGCUUUUCAAUUUUCUCUCUUCUUUCUUUCUUUCUUUCUUUCUUUCUUUCUUUCUUUCUUUCUUUCUUUCUUUCUUUCUUUCUUUCUUUCUUUCUUCUUUCUUUCUUUCAGUGGGCCUCAUGCCCAGUGCAGGGGGGCUCCAACUCAUGGCCAAGAUAUCAAGACCUGAGGUGAGAUCAAGCAUUUGACACUUAACGACUAAACCAUGCAGGCACCCCUUGGCUUGGCUUUUUAAUAUCUUAGGGGCAGCUACCAUGCCAAGCUCCACCCAGUAUCUGGAAAGAGAACCCAAUUCAUCCGGGUGUCCUGGGGCUGCUUCCAGUGUGGGUGGACUUGGCAGGUGUGGCUCCUGAUUUUUGUGGCUCUGUCCACUCUCUGUGUCCCAUUGCCAUUCUCUUGUUGGGGCUACCACCAUGUCCCGGAGGCCUCUGCCUCCAGGCUUGCUCCCCCUUAGUCCACUCAUGUGCCCAGUGACUUCUCUGAAUGCCAAUCUCUUCAUAUUACUUGUUGGCUUAAACCCUGCACUAUGGGUCCACAUAGCCCUCAAGGUAAAGUCCCAUUGUUCUACCAGGGCUCCUGCUGAAUUUUCUGGACUCACUAUGACCUCUCACCCCCUCCUUCUUAACUCCUAAGUAAUUCUGCUCACCCAGGACCUUGUUCUCUGUUACCACCUCCUCUUUCUGUAGGGCUCAGCUUUCUGUAGAUGCCACCAGUUUAUGAAGCUUACCCUGACUCCCCUGUAAGGUGCUCCCAUCACAUCUUGCUUUUCUCCUCUGUUACGGACUUUUCACCCUUAAUUAUCAUCAUGUAUUAGGAUCUGUCUCCUGCCAGAAUCUGGAAGCUCCGUUAGGCCAGCCACCACCAUGUUCUUGCUCAAUCAUAGCCAUGGCACCUAGUCUAGGGCCCAGCAAUGAAUGAAUGGGUGGAUGGAAUGUGUGAGUCAGUCAGUGUUCCACACUUUGUGUCUGGGAGCUGGGGUGCCCAAAGGUCUUGGGUAAACUUCGGUGGGCUCAUUUUAGAGAAGAACUAAUAUGUUCUGAAGCAAAGUCUGAAAACUUUGAUGUGUUUCUUCUAGACCUUUCUUUCAGCAGGUGCUCAACAUUUAUUGAGCAUAAUCUGUGCUGGGCUCUGUGCUGAGCAUUUUACAGGAGUUGGUUCCUUUGAUGUUCAUGAGCAUGCUCAGAAGUGGAUGCAGUUUUUAUCCUGCCUGUGGUUCAGAGUGGUUGAGUCACUAGCCCAAGGUCACACAGCCAGCAAGUGAAAGAAUAUUCUUGAGCCCAAGUCUGGUUUCCUCUAAACUCAUGCUUUUCAUCACUAUACCUGGAUGUAAGUGUUUUGUUAUCCGAAAGACCUGGGUCUCAAUUUCCAGAACUUACCAGCUGUGUGAACUGAGGUAAGUUAGUGUAUCUCCUUGGACCCUAUCCCUUAGUAGUGUUCUGUGAAUUAAACGAGGUGAUGUUUGUAAAGUGCUUGCUUUUCAGUAGGCUCCCACGUUGAGCUUCCUACCUGGUGGGGAACUUAACCAUUUCUUGAGGCAGGUUAAUUAACACAUCCUUUGACAGUGGAGUCCGUGGGAAAGUACUUUUGCGCAUUCGGCAGAAGUCUGCCGUCCUUCGGUCAUACCAGCUCAGGACCGUUGGAGGCAGUUCUGUUCCUAUGCUACAGGCUUCUCCCCACCACUGAGGGCGUCUGUUCUGUCCCUAUUCCUGCUUCUAGAGCCUCACUUCUCUGGGGAGGACAAUUUCAGUCAGUCCCUCCACACCUUUCUCAUGGAAGAAGGCUUGAAGUCUCAUUAUUCACCCAACUGCUAGUCUAGAACAAGCCCCACUGCUUCUGCACCUCCUUAGGUAAAGGCUGAGACAAAGACACUGCAGUGAGGAUACUUCCGACAGCAUUGAUUGCAUUUGUGAGAAAUUUGGAGAAGAGGAUUAAGAGGUUCAAACUUCCAGUUACAAAAUAAAUAAGUCAUGAAAAGUAUAGCAUACAGAGUAUAGUCAGUAAUACUGUAAUAACAUCAUAGGGUGACAAUGAGAGGACCGCAUAAUAUACAGAGUUGCCCCAUCGCUGUGUUGCACACCUGAAACUAAUAUAACAUUGUAUGUCAACUCUUCCUCAAUAAUAAAAAAAGUUAAAAACAUCUAUAACCACUUAAAUAUUCAAUGAUAGGGGAUUAAAUGGUAGGGAUACAGCAUGUCCGUAGUCCAUAUGAACAAACACUAAGUGGCCACAAAGAACAGCUAGAGGAACAAACAUUUAUUGAUGCAGGAAAGUGGUUACGGUGUCUGGACAAAUGUAAAAAGUAAAUGUAGAAUGCAAUGCACGAUCCCCAAUUUUGAACAACAGUAUUCAUCUCUGUAUGAAAGAAAAUCUGAAAGUAUUUAAAAGGGUAAAAGUGCUUAUCUCUGGGUCAUGAGGUUAUGGGGGAUUUUCUUCUUGUUCUAAAUUUUCUAUUGAGGGAGGAAGUAUAGCUUAGUGGUUAUGAAAAUGGACUUCAGAAUCAGGCCAACCUGGCGUUGGUCUAUUUUCUGCCACUCGAGAGCUUUGUCACCUUGGUUUCAUAAUUUGUAAAGUAAGGAGACUAACAGUGCCUCGUCUUAUUAUUGCUGAGGACAUGAUAAGACUGGUUUUGUUUUUGGAAUGUUUAAUGGGCGCCAGCGCUCUGCUAAGCAAUUGACUUGCAUAUUCUCUAUCAUGAUCUCCGCUCUACAAAUGAGGGAACUAUGUCCAGGGAGACUAGGAACCUGUCUUCAGUCCUACAUGAAAGGGGGCGAUGACUUUCCCCAUUCUCAGCACCUGAACCCCUUCAAGGGUGCUGAAGUUCAAAUCUGUCCUGCCAUCCACAUCUCCCUGCUGACUCAUUCUGGACCCACUCUGACUAAAAUCCCCAGACAUUUUCAUACUGGUCGUGUCUCCAUCCUCUACUUGUGCUUUAUUGCUCUCUCUCUUUUUUGUUUUUGGACUUGAGUGAACUUAUUAUGGAGCUGACAGGUGGAUGAGAAGCCUGAGCAUUCAAAUCAAACCAUUAACUAUGAGGAAGUCCAAGAAUAAGCCUUGUAAUUUGGUAGUGAGAAGUUGCUGAUCACACCUACACACACUGGAGAGCCCAAGGGGGAGUAAAAUGCAUGAGCUUUGCAUUUUCCUUUUCAACUCAGCCGGAAAGAGCAACCUCUCCUGAUGUGAGAGUGUAAGUGGAGAGGCCAGGACGAGUCUAGGGAGGUGUCAUUGGCAGAGCUCCCCGGACACAGUGGUCAUUGGAACUGAGUGUGCGACACACCUUUAAAAGCAGGAGCUUGGGUGCCUGGCAGAUUUGAGUUGUGACUCCUGCUUUGUCACUCAUGGGCUGUGUGGCCCUGAGCACGUGAUUAAGCCCUCUGAACUUCAUUUUCUCAUCCUCAAAAUGUAGCCAGUGGUGCUUAUUUUGUGGACGUUGCAAGAGGAUCAAUGUGAGAUCAUGCAAGUGAAAGGCUCCACUGGUUCUGCGACCAAUUUUAGUGGUGGUACCUCUUCUCUGGAAACCUUCCGUUCCCCACUGACUCAUCAGUAAAUGUGGAAGGAUAGGAGAAUCUGAGUCCCCAGAGGCUCCAUGAUUGGAGUGGGGAAAUCACACAGCACAGGUUCUUAGUGCUGCUGAGGAAGAAAGAGAGCUCUUGAGGCCAGAGUGGUCCAAACACACCCUUUAUCCUCAUUUUGACACAAUUAUUUUAUCUUUCAAAUUUUAUAAUCAAUGUGUGUUUGUGGUGAAAAAAAAAAAAAGAAUCAAACUAUUCAGAAGCAUAUAAAGAACAUAGUAAACAUUCCUUUUAAUUGCCGUGCAAUCCCGUUCACGUCUCCAGAGAUGACCACUGUGAAAAGUAUGUGUGCACCUUUCUAGAUGUUUUUAUUUUAUUUUUUUUUCACUAGAGAUCUGAAACAUACUCAAACACAGACUUCCUCGCCAAUGCUACGAAUGUUCUGUGACUUGAAUGUUCAUGAAGCUUUCAUGAGGAAAAUAAAAGGUUGGCUCAGGAGGACAGAAGGAUGGGCUCCUCCAUGUUUGUUGUUUCCCUCUAGCUUUGCUGCCCAGAGUGGAUGUUGAGGAGCCUAGAUGCUAAAUUGGUUUGGAAAUGGCUGGGGAGCCUCUUGACCCUUCUAUAGUUCCACAUGGCCCAAGCUUCUAGCUGCAGAUCUUGGGCUGCUGCUUUGGAGGACCAACCAUCUCCUGAAGGACUCGGUCCCUUUGGCCAGAAUGAUCCUUCCUCUUCCAAGAGGAAACAGGACAGGCCUAGGCGGAAAUAUGUGUCUGGAUGACCAAUUGCAUGAGUCAAAGGUACUUGUGGAGAUGACCAACAUUAUUUUAGCACAUAUGCCAUCCCCAGAGGAGGAAGGACAGCUGCUUCCGCUUUUCUUGUUUUCUUUUGAGAGGAGAUGAAAGUCCUUCAGAGAUGGUACUGGACCCCACACGGGGCAAUGGCUUCUAUUUAGGGGGUAACAUUGGUACCCAUGCUCUUCAUGGCUGCUCAGUUUUAUACACUGUUCUUAAUUGGGGUCCGUCGAAACACUCUUGGGAAUGUUGGAGUACAACAAAGGUUACAUGGAUUCCCGUUUUAUAGCUUCUUCCCCAGCCCCAUUCUCCCAAGCCAUUUGCUGUGCAAUGUGAUUGUCACUAAAGGCAGGGCACCAAGCCUUAGACUUGGCGGGCACCUCGCUGCUACUGCUACACUGAUUUGCUCCCACUGUCUGUAUUCUGAUGACCUUAAAUGUAUUCAUUUGCUCAUCAGUCAAAAUGUCUUCAGGUGAUACUACUUGCUAGGCUCUGUGCUAUGUACUGUACGUUGUGUGGGCACAAAAGAGGAAGUGACCAGUUGUCUGUAGACCUGCGGCAGGGCCAGGCUUUCAGCACGGUAGGUAUUUGAAGAGAUUUUCAAGUGAGGAAUAGAAUGUACCAGGCAAAUGUGGUAGAAGGGCAUUUCAUAGAGGGGAAGCAGUGUUGACCAACAUGGGUGAUAUGGGACCAGGGGGCAAGUUUGUUGGGGGUGAAAGUCAUGGCCCAGAUGAACUGACCAGUACAAGUUGUCUUCCAUAGACAAAAAUCCCAAACAUCAUUAGAGAAGGAUCUCUUUUCACUCUGUCAAACUUGAGUUGCUUUGAGCGCUGAUUGACUCAGCAACGAUUUACUCAACAGCUACUAUUUGCUAUGCACUGUGCUGCAUGCUAGGGAUGUAAUGCUGACAAUUUUCUUUUGGCAGUUUUCCUAAAGGCCCAGUAAACAGUGUUAAAGUUUAACUUGGAAGUGAUCGUUACUAUCUUCAACCCAUGACAAAGCAUCUUUCUACUUCAGGGGCAUCUACGGUGAGGCUGGCAUUAUUCUUUAAGCUCUGGACAGUGCAAGGGAGAAUUUGACACACUUCUUUCACUGUCUUCUCGGAAUACUAAUCUAGAUAUGAACGUGACUCAUUGUUUUAUCUAUUGACAAUAUGUCAGUGUGACCACACCCUGUCUUGUGAUGGAUAGCUUAUGAAUGCCUUUAUAGAAGUCAUAAUCGUGGCUUUGAAUGCCACCACUUGAAAGCUGUCAGCCCUUUUGUGCCAUGAGGAGACAAGAAGUUUUAUCAGACUGCUGGAGAAGAACAAGGUGGUCGAUGUCCAAACUAUUACAUUCUGAUGCCUCCAUAAAUAAGACGCCUGUGUCACAGUCAGCCCGCAAUCAGAACAGCAGUGAGAUCUGCCCUGACGUCAGUGUCUCGCCCUUAACCUCCUCCCACCUUCACGUCCUCCUCCCUAGCUCCAGAGAUUAAAAGGCAAUAAGCUGAAUUCUGAACACCCUACCUUUAGUCUCACUCACUUCGGCUGAGUGGUCUCUCACCCACCUGUCAGUCUUCCAAAAAGACACACUUGCCCUCAUUCUAGAAUCUUCUUUGAAUAGCCCUUUCACUUGUCACUUCAAGUGUCUUCUUGGUCGACAAAACUGCAAACCCAGACGGGCAAUCAGGAAUUAAGGGCAAUGGUGGUUUGGGAUUAUUUCAGCUAAUUGCUGUCCUAUGUGAGAGAUUGCAUCAUCUGUGACAGCUGGCCUGAGUAAUCAUCGCUUUCAGAAGCAAGUUUUCCCCUUUGGUGCAGGAGGGACUUUCAAGACUAUUUUGACCAGUGUAUCCUACAGAGCAGUAAAUCUGAAAAGGGAUUGCAGAUACUUUGUUGUGUUUUUUUUGGUGAGAAUUAAAUAGGAAAAAGCCACCAAAUUUCUAGUUUACAGUAAAUGUUUGGUUUAGUUUAGGUGUUUUUAUUUUCUAGAACCUGUGUAUCCCUGAUCCUCACACACAGUGUUUGGCACUCAACUCCAUUAUUCUCCACUGUUGACGGCACAUCCCCUGUGAUGCCUUUCUUUUUUCUCUCCUGAAUUUGGAGGUAGAGAGGGAGUGACGUGAUUUGUAUAUGGUAACUCAGAAUGCUGCACCAACCGUUAGUUCUUUGCUGGCUGGGACACUGAGCUUUGGAGCAUGCUGUGAGGUCUAAGUGGGCUUUCUGGGUAUGCUGGGUUAUGUCUUCAUUUAUACUAGAGUGGCAAGGAUUGCUACCUUGAGUAAGUCAAGUGGGAGGAGUCUCUGGGCAGGGGACAGAAUAGGGAAUCAGAUGUCCAUGUAUAUGUCUCUUAGAGUUCUUUGGAAAUACCGUGAUUAUAGCAGGUUCCCCCCCCCCCACCAUAAACUGCCAAGUACAAACCCAGAAAAGGAGGAAGUUAAUUCACAUUCUUGCUUUCUUCUACAGGCAAAAAAAAAAAAAAAAAAAAAAAAAUCACCAGCCUUUUCCCAAGGGCUCAUUUUCCAUCUCUGCUUGGCUCAUCAGAGUAUAUUGUGAGCCAGUACAAAGACCUUGAGGGAGGAAUGCUGUCCAGAGCUCACCUGUUUUUAUCCCCACCUUCCUUUAUGUGAAAUUGGGCCACCUCCCUGCUAACCCCAGCCUGGGCUCUGCCUCUGCUCCCAUGACGGAUAUGUUUCGAGUAGAUGCAGCAUGCUGGGCCACACAGGGAAGCUGCAGGGGGUGUCCAAGUUCACAUGUCCUGCAUUCCAGGCGAAUGUUUUUGACAUUGAGCAAUGGAAUGACUCUGCCAGGUUUAGGUCUGUCCGAUUGGAAUGCAACCGAAAAGGAAAGUCCCGGAGUGAUUCAAAUCCUCACCUCCCCACAACCCCUGCCUGUUGUUUUUUUUUUUUAUUCUUUUUUAAUUCUCCAAUGACAAACUCAGCCCAGCACUCCUACUGACCCUCAGCACUUGUUGGUGCUGAUAAGUGCAACUUCCCAACAGAUAGGACUACAAAUCAUAAUAUUUCGUUGAGUCAUGUGUACGCUGAGGCUCUUUCCCAAACAUUGCAUCAGACUCAUAAUGGGCAGCUCCCAGGACUCUGCUGGAUGACACUGAAUGUCCAGGAAAAGCUCAGUCCAUUUCUCGAAAAAAUGUACUCUCACUCUCUCCAUCUGCCUGGUUGUAAUAUCCUGUUCUUGAGAAAGCUGAACCCCUGGAGGGAGCAAAGGCACAACCGGUUUUGCAGAUAAGUUUGAAAAAUAGGACUAUUGGCCUUUCCCACCCACUCUGGUCUCUUAGCAACAGGACAGCUGAUGGGAUCCACUAGGGAAAAAAACACAGAACAUGUGGGGGAGCCUGUCUGAAUUCUUGCCUGCAGUCUGAUUUAUUUAAACCUUCCUGAAUUCUUAGGAAUGAAGACCCAGGAGUCACGUCAUGGGAGCAUUCUCCUGCCCUUCUUGUGACCUCUGCGAAUGAGCAGAUAGGGGAAAAUCUCAGAGUGAGGUGGACAUUCUUCCUCUGUAAGAAUCUGCCUUAUCUGAGACAGCCAUUUCCUUCGAUUUGGGGAGUAACCGCUUGAAAACUUGGGAACAUUUAUAGAGAGCUGGGGUGAGGUGGAAAGAGCAUAGGACUGGGUGUCUGAGGUCCUUGGUUCUAAUGGAGACUGUCUCCCCUUCCCCGUGGGACCCCAGGCAUGAAACCCCUGGUGCAUCCACCUCCACCCCGUUCGGCUUUCUCAUCUGCAAAGAAGGGAGCUGAAUUAAAUGUUCUCUAAGGUAUCUUUCAGCACUGAGUCGAUGGUGUGUGUGUGUGUGUGUGUGUGUGUGUGUGUGUGUGUGCGCUUGUGUGUUGUGUCUGUGUGCAUUCACAGAAAAUUUAUAUUAUGUCAUGUAUCCAUCUGAUUCUCUCUCUUGAACUUUUGAGUCAUUCCAUCAUAGAACACGAAUUUUGAGGCCAGGACUGUGCUCUUAACCGCUCUCCUUUACUAUUGGGAUGUGUACACAGAGAUACUCUGUGGUUGGUAUUCUAUGUUACAUCUGGCGGUCUUUAUGCCUACAUCUAUUAAUCUGUGGGUAUAGAAUUGGGGAGAUGCAGAGUACUAAGGCUUUAAUACUCAGCGAGAUCUGGGUUCACAUUCUUUCUCUGCCUCUUACUAGUUACGUGGCAUCAGGAUUCUCAACCGUGAAGUGGAAAUAAUGAAGGCUAUGUGAUCAGGUUCCUCUGAGAAUUAGGCAAAAUGAUGUGUGUAAGACAGCUGACAGUCUAAAACCCCUGCUGCAUAGUAAGUGCUCAAUGAAAAGGGGAGCAGAGUCGAGAUAUGGAUUGAUGAUAGGUUCUCUGAUGAGAGGGACUUGCCUUAUAUCAUGACUUCAGGUUGCUGGAACUUCUCAGUGGGGCUCUGCAUCUAGGAGGAGCACUAAAUCGUAGCUAAGAUAACCAGUGGAAUGUGGCUCUGGUUGGCUGUUGCUUACGCAACUUGAAUGGUCUUCAAUCAUUUUCAAAAUGCAAACAAUUGCAUUUUAGAGCACUUUUUCUUUCUUUGGACAGAUGUUCUGAAGUUGUUUCUCUCUCCAUUCCUGUCUCUGUCUCUUUCCUUUUGUAGAGGAAUUAAUGCAUAGCAGGUACCGGGCCAGGUGUUUUACAUUCAUUAUUUCAACUAUCCUUACAGCAACUCUCUCCAAGAGGUUUUGUCAGUCUCAUUUCACAGCAGAAGAUCUUGAGGUUCAGAAAAUAAGUCAUCCAAGACCAUUGUUAAGACCUCAGCUGUUAAGUGACAGAACAAGAAUUUGAAGUCCUGUUCCCCUGACUGUUAAAAUGGGAGGGGACCUGGGAGAGAGAUCGAUUCAUCUUUUGUCUUGACUGUUGAGCCCACUUCUUUGGGGGGAGAAAAGCCACCUGCUCCAUCUACUCCCUCAUUAGUGCUAGGGGACUCUGAACACUUACUGUGUUCCUGGCUCUGCUAAGUCCAUUAUACAUGAUCCUGUUUGGUGCCAUUAACAACCCUACAGGGUAGAUGCUAAUUAUUAGACCCACGCAACAGAGGAGGUUGUUACUGAGGUGAGGUACUCUGGCUCUAGAGUAAACUCUUCUCACAAGAUAAUCUACUAAUUUUAUCAGGGUUAACAAGGGCACAUGGUCUCUAUUACUCUUGGGAACGUUAUCUGUAAUUUUACUUCUGCUUCUUUUUGGUGGUAUCCAUCACCAGUUUCUCCUUGUCCCCAAGAACAACAGUGGACAUUGAAGGUAUGGAAGCUAUUGAACAAUAGGCCAGUAGAGUUUCAACACUGCAAGGCGUCUUCAGUCUUCAGGCGUCAAAUCGUCCAGUAGUUUUAUAACAAUGGGACAUGACCUGUUCAGUGGGUUGUAAAAACAACUUACUAGCAUGUGAUCAGUAUUCCAGAAGUGAAAUGAGUAGAAUAGAAAAUAUAGAGUAUGUUGCACUCAGGGUGAGAUGGUAUCGAGAAAGUUGCCUCCAUUACCUCUGUGCGUGUGGGUUCUGGGUCACCACGUAAAAUGCAUUUCUUACUGAUGGCCAUCUUUGUCCAAGUUUGAAAAGCAUUGGUUUCAUUAAGUGAUUUUCAGAUUUUGUUCCACGACAUCCAUGGAAGCUUCAGAUACCUUAGGGGAAAUUGGAAUGGAGAAGCUGAGUAGGGAGAACUUCGGGAAUGUCCCCUCUUCUGAUGAAAGGAGUCCCAUGUUUAUCUGGUUUUCAUGUUGGAUUUUCAUAGGAUAUUUCAUCUUUUUUAAAAAAGACUCUCCUAUGGGGUGCCUGGGUGGCUCAGUUGGUGAAGUAUCUGACUUCUGCCCAGGUCAUGAUCUCCCAGUUCUUGGGUUCGAGCUCCGUGUUGGGCUCCUUGCUGACAGCUUGGAGCCUGGAGCCUGCUUCAGAUUUGGUGUCUCCCUCUCUCUCUGCCCCUGCCCCGCCCAUGCUUUGUCUCUCUCAAAAAUAAAUAAAACAUUUUUUAAAAAUUUGUUAAAAAAGACCCUACGGAAAAGAAAAGAACUGAAGAGCCACUGAUUUACCUCAUUGGAUUUGUGUUGUAUUGAGUAUCGAUUCACUCUUGCGUGACUUCAUAUGGUAACCAAGGGGCAGCCAUUUGCUCAGUACUGUGAUGGUUGCCAUGAAAUAUACAGCAAUGUUGGCAAAUGUGUCCAUCGCUGUCCUUAAAUGGUUGUUACAACUAACCUGAUAACAACCUGCUGUUUUUUACCAGAUACGGCAAGGAAAUAGCUGAAGAUGUUGUUCAGAAUUUGGAAAUUUCCUUAAAAAGAUAGAGUUGUGGGGCGCCUGGGUGGCGCAGUCGGUUAAGCGUCCGACUUCAGCCAGGUCACGAUCUCGCGGUCCGGGAGUUCGAGCCCCGCGUCAGGCUCUGGGCUGAUGGCUCAGAGCCUGGAGCCUGUUUCCGAUUCUGUGUCUCCCUCUCUCUCUGCCCCUCCCCCGUUCAUGCUCUGUCUCUCUCUGUCCCAAAAAUAAAUAAACGUUGGAAAAAAAAAAAAAUUAAAAAAAAAAAAAAAGAUAGAGUUGUUACAAGAAGGGAAAUGGAAGGAUCAAAGGUGGCUGUAGCAAUGGAGAUAAAGGAAAUAUGAAGGAUUGUACUUUGGUUCAGACCAACAGCAUAAAUGUAAGUGCAGUAUGAAUUUGCUUGACAAUGUUCGUGAAUCAAUGUCUGAGGUUGUUACCUGACUUCUCACUCUGUAAGUCAACAGUGUGGCGCAGGCCAAAACCCAAAGUAAGCCUGACUACGUGCAACACAUUCAUGGCCAUGGAGUACAGAGUACCUGUGUGAGCGGAGACUGCGAAAAUGGCCAAAGCCCUUUGCAGCUUUUCCCAUGUGAGGAUAGAGUCCAUUGUGUCUAUUUCCCUGCUUCUUGAUUUUUGAGUUGACCCUUUGAUUAGCUUUGGCCAAUAGAAUGCGGCAGAAGUGAUCCUGUGCCAUUUUGAACCUACUCCUCAAGCAUGCAGCCUCCAUUCUUGAACUCUUAGACCCUGAUACAGACAUGCAAAUAGGCCCUAGUUAGCCUUCUGGAGGAAGGUAGACAAUGGGAGAGAGACUCCAGGUACCAUAGCCAAGGCCAUCCUAGACCUACCAACCUCCAGCUGAUCUGCCAGCUGAUUGCAGACACUUGAGAAAGCACAGAUGAGUUCAACCAGGCCCAGCCCAGACCAGAAUAACUGUCUUGCCGACGCACAGGAUCACAAGCUAACUUUUGGAGUGUUUUAUUAGGCAUCAGAUUCUAACAGAUGCAUGCACCAUCCUGCACGGGCAAAUCCACACUGGAAGACACAUGACCACAUCUACCAAAAAUAUUAGCUAGAAAUGUUAACAAACUACAAUGUGUUCAGGUCAGGGUGAGGAUAGUUCUAAAAACCUGCUGGAUAAGAAAUUAAGGAAGCUUGGGCGCCUGGGUGGCUCAGUCGGUUGAAUGUCCCAUUCUUGAUUUUGGCUCAGGUCACGAUCCCAGGGUUAUGGGAUUGAGCCCUGCAUCGGACUCUGCACUGAGUGUGGAGCUUGCUUAAGAUUCUCUCUCUCUCUGUCUCUCUCUGUCUCUGUCUCUCUCUGUCUCUCUCUCUCUCUCUCUCUGUCUCUCUCUCUGCCCCUCCCCUCUGCUUGGGCUCUUAUCCUAAAAAUUAAAAAAAAAGAGAAGUUACAUAAACUUAAUCUGGAAAGUAAGGAUGUUUAUGGGAACAUGAGCUCUCCAUUUUGAGACUUGACAUUAAUGGGAGAAGUGGGAUGAAUUCUUUGUAACUUCUGUGGUUGAUUGAAUAUUGGCUGUAACUUCUCCCAUUCCAUCUAUUCCUGCCACGGCCUUAGGGUAAGCAGAGUAUGGUCUUCUCUUAAGUACUUUCUUUGACCUUGGGCUUGGACAUGUGACUUGAUCUGGCCAAUGAAGUGUAGGCAGAAGUUACAGAGCAUCUGCGGCAGACUCAUUCUCCUAUAACUUCUACCAUCACCAUAAUAACAGGAUUUCCCAGAGGAGGAUGAGAGGCUUGUGGAGCAGAACCCCCUCCCCCACCCUGCAGCAAGCAACAGAGCUUUCCCAGCUCCCCCCUAUAUUAUGAGUGAAAAGUUAAUGUUUAUUUUUAUAUGCUCCUGGGGUUUUAAUAUUGAUUCAUAUCUAGUAAUAAUUGACCAAAGUACUUCUGAGAUUAAAAUUAAGAUCAAGGGGUAUCUGUGUCAAGGAAGGAGACUUAUUUAAGGACAAAUCUCUUUGCUAAAGAAGAGAACUGUCCUAAAGUAGAACACAUGGAGAAAUUAGGAGUUUUCUAUCCAUGGAAUAUUCAAUCAUUGGGAAGCUGUAGAUGGUGUUCUUAGAAUGAGAAUCAGACUUUCGUUUCAGAGCAACUGAGAUGCUCAGCAAUUUGGAGGAUGGCUAGCAGAUAAUUUCAGUUGUUUUUUGCCACAGAGGAAGGGUGAGCGUGCAGGAGUAAGCAUGUGUGUGCAGGGAAGGUGUUGGUUAAGAGGGACAAACACUGUGGGAGCUUUGAAUGCCCACUAAGGUAUUGACCUCUGAUUCAAGUCUGCGCACAUUUGUUAUUCAACCUGGAACCUCUCCCUCUUUCCUCUGAAGUUCCACUUAUUCCUGAAGUGCCAGCUUAAGUCUGGUUUUCUCUCUGGGAAGUUCACCUGACCUUUCCAGCCUCCAGGGACCAACCCAUCUCUGGAGUCUUCAUCUUGGCUGCCUUGUCUUUCUCCUUGAAUUUUUCCGGGCUGAGAUAGAUGUUUCUCACGUGCUCACAUAGGGUUUCCUCAAAUUAAGGACCUUGCUGCUCUGCAAUGUGGUCUUGCCUCUCUCUUUAGAACUGAGAGCUGGUGGAAGGCAAGAACCAUAGCUCAUUCACCCAGCACCCCCUCUAUCUACCGUAGUGCCUGGUACAUCUACAUGCUCAGUAAAUAUUUGUGGAAUGAAUGGAUGUGGGUUUCUUUCAUCUUUUUGGUGCAACUGUAAACUCCUAAAGGCAGUUGCUACAUUCCCAUAGUGUUCCAAGGCCUGUGCAUUUGUUCAUUCAACAAAUAUUUGAUGAAUGAGUCUAACCCAGGCUUACAACACCCUAUGCCACCUGGCUCCUACCAUCUCUACGAUAUCAUUUCAUGUAACUUCCCUUCACUCACUCACUGAUCUGCUCAAGUCAUACUGGCUUUCCUCAGUUCUGUGAACCCUUAAACCUCAUUCCCACAUGAGGGCUUUUGCAGUCCCUUUGGCUACAAUCACUUUCCCUUGGUCUUCUGUGGCUUCCGCCUUCUUGUUAUUCCAAUCACAGGUCACCUCUUUUGAGAAUCACGUGCCGAGUGACCAAUCCAUGGCACCACCCUGCCUCUCUCCAUUGUGUCUUUCAAUCCCAAUUCUCUGCAUGACGUUCAUGACUUUUGGAUAAUUAUCUUCCUUCCUUUGUCCCUCCCUUCUUUCCUUCCUUCCUUCUUUCCUUCCUUCCUUCCUUCCUUCCUCCCUCCCUCCCUCCCUCCCUCCCUCCCUUCUUUCCUUCCUUCCUUCCUCCCUUGCUCCCUCCUUUCCUUCCUUCCUUCCUUCCUUCCUUCCUUCCUUCCUUCCUUCUUCCCUUCUUUCCUUCCUUCACCAGCAUGCUUAUUUAUUGAUUGAUGGUCCCUCUCAGGUAACAUGUAAGCUUCGUGACAACAAGUAUCUUUUUGGUUUCACUCAACAGCUGUAUCCCUAACAUCUGAUAAAUAUGUAUUGAGUGAAUGGAUGAAUGAAUGAGUGAAUGAAUGAAUGAACAUGGGUCCAACACUCAGCUCUGCAUUGUGAAUACCAUGGGAAGAGAAUAGACAAGGAUCUUACCGUCAGCUAUUUUAUAAUUUUUGCUGAAUGCUCAACGUAUACCUGGUACAGCAGAGAAACCAAAACCAAACCAAUAAAUGCUAAACACAAAACAGAACAGAUGGGAGUGUGUGUAGCUCAAUGCAUGUCCUGAAGCCUCAGCUACUUUCUGUGAAAUGAGGACAAUAAUGCCUCAUUUGCAGGUUUGCAAGGAAGGUGAAGUGAGAUAAUGAACAGGCACCACUCAACGUGUGGCACAUGGCUCUCGUUCUGAGAAUGGUAUUCUCCCAACACCAACCCCAGAUUCCCCCCAACGAGUGCAAUGAAGCAUAUUAAGAAGCUUAUGUUGGUCUACCUAUCUGAUCCACUCCAGAGAACCGAACUUCAAUUCCAAGUAUGGCUCCUGGGCUUAAAUCCAGUUACGAUAAUGUUUCUGUCCCAGGUCCUUCCAGAGUGUUAACGGGGGAAGUGGAGCGAUUAUGGUUCCUUUGUGCACCAUGAGCUUUUGUUAGCUGCUGUUCUUGAGCUGGGUGGUGGGGAGCUACGUGAUAAUUGGGUGCAAACCACAGCAAAAGCGCGAAGAGUCAGGGAAUGCUGGACACAGGGUGGGUCUUCCGCAGAGGUGUGCCGAUAACCGCUGGUGUUGCCAGAAUGCCCUCCAUGGAGAGUCAGUCCUUUUGUUUCAAUCAUUGCUGGAUGGAAUAAAAAUAAGAACAACCGUUAACUCCAGCAGUCAUUUAAGCGGGUCGAGUUCAAUACUAACAUCCAAAACAAUUAUGGUAGUGAGUGACCAGCACUAUGAUCAGGUCUCAGGAGGGUGCUUUCUGGAGACUGGGUGGCUGAGUGUCGAGUGAGCCAGAUCCUGCAGAAGCCCUGGGGAAGGGGCAAGUUUGGCCAGUGGAGGGGCAAGGACAAGGACAGUUACACAACAGAGCUUCCAGAGUGAACUGUUAUCUGUGUCUAAUCUGUCCUCCCCUCCCCGCUCCACCUACACAGAUGUGCCCUUUAAAUAUUUAUUUGCCCACCUUUGCGGUAUGUGCUAGACUUUGUCUCAAAAGUCAGCUUGAUCCCUUUGAAGGUGUUUACUAAUUAGAUCAGCCUGGGAAGUUAGGCAACUUCAGAUAAAUUUAUCCUGUGUGAGGUAGUCCCUGGGCACAAGACCCCUAAACAGCCUGGGGUGGGGGGGUCAGCUGCCGCUUUCCUGCUUCCUUCCUUUACUGGAGGAAGUCCUAAUGAUUGCCCAAUUAAGCUGAAUGGCACUGCCUCUUUUUUUCUGCCAUUAGCCCCUGACACAAGUCUGAGGCAGGCAGCAGAGUGGCUGGAGCCAGAAGGCUAAAUGCUCUUAGCAAGCACGAUUAUGGAUCAGUGGCGUGCUGGGCUCACUUUGACAUAAUCCACAUGAAAUUCUUGCUUAGUGAUACAGCAUCUGGGCCGUAGGUAUUGACUCGAUUGUGAGCUUGGCUUGAAAGGGAAAUUGCUGCUGCAGUAAUUCAAGUUCAAUAGACCCGCAGGUCACUGCCCUCAAAUAUUUAAAAAUAAUAUUUGCUUCAGGAGAAUUUGGGCACGUGCAUGAGUGUAUGUGCAUGGGGCGUGUGUGUGUGUGUGUGUGUGUGUGUGUGUGUGUGUGUGUGUGUUUGGGCAUAUAUAUCCAGCUGAAAGAGCUUCUAGAAGAGGCAAAACAUAAAGUGAGGGGGAGAACUUUAUUAUGCUGGGUCCGAAGGCAGCCUCAGUGUAUGUAUGGUCAGAUUCAUCUGAUUCCCUUCAGUCACCUCAGCUAUUGUCACCGUUGUGAUAGGCCGGGAGAGAAAGACAGCUGAUGAUGGCUGCUGGGACUGCCUGUCUUAGGUCUCAGAGGAUCCCCUUAGAGAGUUUUGCUUCAAACGCCUUUGCUUGUUCCAAGAGUAAGGCCAAGUGCUUCCUGCUCCGUGCAGCCCCCUGGGAGAGCCUGAGAGCAUGCAGAGUGAUGCCUGGCAGCCUGUGACAAAGCCACGGGUGUCCGUGGGCUUUGCCUGGCAUAGCCCGCCUCUCCCCGACAGAGCCAACAGCACUGCUCUCUGUUUCUGCGAGCCCUUGUUCACACGUCUGCCACAGUCCGUAAUUAAGACUGUUAAUAUGUUUACCAUGAAGCUGGGAGUACCUUAGCCUUGUGACAUAGCACUGUGACCUAUGCCUGGGUCCACAACACGUAUCAAAUAACCAAACGGACACAUUUCACAGGGAGAGCUGAGUUUCUUCUUGAUGUUACUAAAACAUGCCGCCUCUCUCAAUCAAAAGGAAUGUGGUUUGCCUGAAGUUAGCAUUGGACAAAGAGACUGGGGGCCGCAUGGUGUCAGAGGACACAGCCGGCCAUGUCAGCAUCUGCCUGUCCCUGGGAGAUUUGACUUUCCGUCUGGGGAGGGCGACUUCCCUUUUGAUCCUUCUGCCACCAUCACACCGUCCUCCAGUGUUAAUGCUUGCUGAUUUAACACUUUGGCCCUGAGGUGCUCCGCCCCCCCCCUUCCCGUGUUUCUGUCAUUUGGGAGUAGAUCUUAGUAGUUAGAAUCUCUAGGGUCAAACCACCUGAAUCUGAGUCCCAUCCCCCCAUGAACAAGCUGUAUGACCUUGGGAAGGUCAAGAUCAUUUCUUUGCAGGUCCUUGCCCGCUUCCUCAACACUAAAGUGGGGUUCUUGAGGUUGAGAGGCUAAGCAGAGAUCUUAAGGGAGCGUCUGACUUAGCAUAAAUGCUCAGAAUUGUUAGCUAUUUCUUCCUGCAAUGUGAAAAUGAUCCCGUCCAUCUUGGCAACAGUGGGGGGGGGAGGUUGGAGAUAAUGGAUACAAAGUGUCUGGCCCCCAAAUGGUAGUUAUGACUAUUGUUAUUAUUAGCUCCCCCAAACAGAUCAAAAUAUAGAAAGAUUUGAUCACUUCCUAAGGGAUUGCACAAAGAAAGUGACCCAGUAUUCAGCUUUGACCUUGACAUCUCCUUCCCUGACUAGUUCACUGUUAAGAAUUACAGAUCUCAUACACUUUUGAGAAGAUUACCAGGGAAUAAAAGACCCAGGAAGAAAAUCUCUCCCUCUUUUUUUUAACGCUUAAUUGCUAAGAUACACACCCUUUCUCUUGAGGGACUGACCACAGGAGGGAUUUUCUGCUUCGAAAAAUAUCUUCUCCCUUACUCUCAAGGCUUCACCUUUGCCUAACUUUAUUAUUAUUAUUAUUAUUAUUAUGUUUAUGUUUAUGUUUAUGUUUAUUUUUAUUUUUGAGAGAGAGUGUGUGUGACCAGGGCAGGGGCAGAGAGGGAGACACAGAAUCAGAAACAGGCUCCAGGUUCUGAGUUGUCAGCACAAAGCCCUACACUGGGCUUGAACCCACAAACCUCAAGAUCACGACCUGAGCUGAAGUCGGACACUUAACCUACUGAAUCACCCAGGCGCCCCUGCCUAACUUUAGAAAUGCCAAGUUUUUGGGACACCUGGGUGGCUCAGUUGGUUAAAUGUCCGAUUUUGGCUCAGGUCAUGAUCUCACGAUUUAUGAGUUCAAGCCCCAUGUCGGGCUCUAUGCUGACAGCUCGGAGCCUGGAGCCUGCUUCGGAUUCUAUGUCUCCUGCUCUCUCUGCCCCUCCCCUGCUCAUGCUCCGUCUCUGUCUCUCUCAAAAACAAAUAAACAUUAAAAAAAAAAAAAAGAAUUGAAGAACUGCCAAAUUUUAAGGCAAUCCUACCACCAUGAUAGCAAUUAUACACCAAGCCAUCCCAAUACCUCAUGCCACGGGAUUUUAUUAUAUUAGUAAUAUACACAUUUGUGGAUAUAUCACCAUAGUAAUGUUUUAUUUUUGAACAAAAACAUAAUACUACUCUAAUAACUGUUUUUUGAUCUUCUUUUCUGUACUUCAUAAUAUAUUAUAAAUUUCCUGCCAGAUCAAUGAAAUGAUUUUUACACCAUUUUGAAUACCUGCUGACUAUUAUAUAAUAUGAUUAUUCCAUAAUGACCUUAACAAAACCCCUAUUUGUAGACAUAUAAAUUGUUUCUAAUGUUUCCUCAUUGUAAACACUGUGAUGAAUAUCCUUAUACUUUUCCAGUUUCACAUCUAAUUGUUAGCAUAGAAUAAGUCAUCGGUAGUGGCAUUUCUGUUUAAAGGGCACUUUUUGAGGCAUUUGAUAAAUUCUGCCUAGUUGUCCUUUAAAAGCCUUUACCAAGUCGAUCCCCAAAUAAUCUAGACCAGCUUUCCAUUAAAAAAAAAAACAAACAAAAAAAACUUCUUGGCACGUAUAAGGAAGGAUAAUUUAGGCACACAUCAGCAAGGGCAGAGGGCAAACAGAAGAAUCUGCUGGAAGCUAACUCCCAUGGGGGCUUUAGUUGCCCAGAGAGCUGAGGGGAACAAUGUCUUUGUACCAUCUUCACCCAUGGGUGCCAUUUAGAUGCCCCCAUAUGGUGGGAGCAGCUCCUGUCUGUAGGAGUUUUCAUACAUCCCAGUGACACUGGAUUGUGGUUUCAGAAAGAAGCCAUUUUUCUUAGGAAACAAGGCUAGGCGGUGGUGUUGGCAGGGGACCAGAGAAAAGGCAGAAGGUGGUGCAGGUGAAGAGGUGUGGGUUUUUAGUGGGAUGUCACCAGCUGUUGUGACUUAAAACUCAAACACAGCCUUCAGGUGACAGUUUAGAAGAAGUUACUAGUUAUGCUGAAGGCUGACUCGAAAUCCUUCCUCCCUUGUCAGAGGAACUCAGCGGGUCUGAAUGAAUCAUCAUGAAGAAGCAUAACUUGUUGAGGCUUCCCAAGACACGGAAAGGAAUCUGGCCGACCUCUGUGUUGAAGCUUUACGAGAUAGGUGGGUGCAACCGCCGAUCUUUACGAAGGCGACUGUGGCUCAGAGUCUUGGGACUCCUCUGUGCCCUGUAAAGCUUUUAUGAAACCUCUGUCAUGCCCUUGGUAGGUCCUGUGUCAUGAAGAAGGAUGUUAAGCACAAGGAAUAUGCCAUAUAUGACCUCUUCUAGGUUUCUGAUCCUUCCAGGGAGGGAUCUCAGCACUUUUUGGCUCUUGUCAAGAAACCAAAUGGCUGAAACUAAGUGAGUUGUUCACAGUGGUAAGAUCUUGUUUGGGGAGAAGGGUGUAGCUUUAUAUAAUUCUGGGGCUUAUUGGCUUGGGUGAGAACUCCCUGGCAUCUGCUGGAAUUUGUAAGUGAUGAUGCAGGGAGGGAAAUGGAGAAGUCAAGGCAUUUACUGACCUAACACAGGCUUGUUAAAAAAUACCAAUUACAUAUAUGCAGUGUCUCUGCAUUAAAAAGAAAAUAUACACUGUCAGGAGAGAAAAUGGGUUAUUAUUCACGGCUAAUUCUUUUAGGUAAACAUGGGAGUGUUCAUACUUAUGGCAAAGAGAAAAGUUUAGUAGAGAUUCAUGCAGCCCCAUCAUAUAUUUCUUGGGGCAUCUAUCUAGCAGUGGGACUUACUAGGUUUUCAUUUUUCUCUAUAUUUCUCUUUCUGUUUUCCUCAUCUCUUGUUCUGCCAUAUGGGAGGGUAGAAAACAACAAUGAACAAAAAACAAAUAGGACUUGGAAUCAGAUUACCUAGAGUCAAGUCACUGUGAGAUGUUUGGCUUCUCUGAGCCUCACUUUUCCCAUCUGCAAAAUGGACACAAUGAGACUUGCUUUGCUGUGUUUGUUCAUUCACCACAGGUUAAAUCGAGUAUCAAUGAACCAGCUAGCAAAAAGAUGAAACAUUGGCUCUAAAGCUUAACAUGGCUCAGUUUUUUAGAUUUUUACUUUCUGUUUUAAAAACUCUUCUGUGGGCGCCUGGGUGGCUCAGUCGGUUGAGCGUCCGACUUCGGCCCAGGUUAUGAUCUCGCGGUCCAUGGGUUCGAGCCCCGCAUUGGGCUCUGUGCUGACAGCUCGGAGCCCGGAGCCUGUUUCAGAUUCUGUGUCUCCCUCUCUCUCUGACCCUCCCCUGUUCAUGCUCUGUCUCUCUCUGUCUCAAAAAUAAAUAACCAUUAAAAAAAUUAAAAAAAUAAAAAUAAAAACUCUUCUGUUGUUUCUCCUGACUUAAUCUCUACUUCCAGACAAGCAUAUAGCGUCUUUAGCUGCUCUGGUAGAUUUAUGGAUUUUUGAAUUUGGAGGUUAUUAGAAGAUUGUGUCCCUCUGUUCUUGGUGCAAACUACCAGUCAGGAAAUAAUGCGGGCAUUAGAAUCAUCUUCUUUUCCUUUUAGAAUGUCCUUUUCAUUGUCCAAGCUUUCUGUGGCUUUUCUAUUUCAAUCUGUAUUGCCCAGACUGCUAAUGGGAUAGGCUCCUAACUGGUGUCCUUGACUUGUUCUUUCCUUGCCAGCCUAACCCAUACAUAAUAUUUAUUCAUUCACUUAGCAAACAUGUUUCAUGUAUCUGACAGUUUCCACCAACUCUAGUGGGUGCUGGACAUGUGCCUAACUCGCUCAAAUACCUCCCUCAGAUUCGCAUCUCUAUUAAUGUAAAUAUCAAGCCCCUUAACCUAGAGUUCAAAAUCCCUGGGUAAAACUGUUUCAACCUGCUUUUUGAUUCUCUCUGUCUCACGACCUACAUCAGCUCUCCACGUUAGCUGGGGCUGAUCUCCUCCUUAGCUUUGCAGAUGUCCUUCCCCCUUCCAGGAAUGCUCUCUUGUCUCUAUUUUAUUUAUUCCAACCUAAGGUUCAGUGCUGAGCCCAGAUGUUAAUUCCCCUGUGGAAUAUUCAGACUGUGCCUCCUUGGGACCCUUGUCACUUAAUAUCUGAGGCCAUAUAAUUCAAAUGGCUGUGUAGCUUUUCAAGCAUCCAGGAAGACAGUAAGACUUCAAGGUGGUUGAAUGAAAACAUAGAAACAUCUUGACUCAUUUGUUCUUGCAUCAUCCACAGGACCUCAUAUCACAGUGUCCUGCUCAACAAACACUUGUCUGUUUGUUGUUUGAGCCAUGUAACAAAACAUAAAAACUGGAACUAAUGCACUGUUAGAAUUAUGCCAGUAGCCGAUUGUUUCCCUCUCUUUUUUAGGGAUGACUUCAGAUGCCAACUUGGUUCAGAUCCUUCCUUAUCUAUGGUGUCCUCUCCAACCUGGCUACCAUCAUUCCUUAUCCUUCUUCAAAGUCCUCUUGCUAUGGAAAUACAGGGUCACAGGGGCUAGUAGCAUUAGGUAGUUUCUACUGUUUAAAAGAAAAAAAGCUGAUGCUUUGCCUAGGUAUCUAGAUCUGACUUACAAUUCUGACUGUAAGCUGAGCAACCCUGGAAAAGCUGUCUUGCCUCUCUGAGUCUUGGGUUUCUCUUCUGUAAGAUAGAAUACAUAAAACCUCUUGCAGGGGCAGUUGGAAAAAAAUAAAUAUGAUAAUAUACAUAUAUAGCACUCAUUGCACUGCUCAAUUCAUACUAAAUGCUUAUUUAAUCAUUGAUGUGAUUGAUAUUCGCCAUAGAUGCUAGAGUAGUCCACAUCCUCUUUGCAGGAACCAUUGGAUUUAUAAGGAUGCAUAUCAAUCCCAUGUGUGGUAGGCUCUCAUAGAUUUCAUUUUGGGAGCUGGCCAUAUCCAGCCUUCCCUGCUGGUAUAGGAUCUCUUCUGUUUUGUAGUCAUUUUUUUAAAUGUUUAUUUAUUUUUGAGAGACAGAGAGACAGAGCGUGAGCAGGGGAGGGGCGGAGAGAGAAGGAGACAUAGAAUCCGAAGCAGGCUGCAGGCUCCGGGCUGCCAGCACAGAGCCCAACAUGGGGCUCGAACCCAUGAACUGUGAGAUCAUGACCUGAGCUGAAGUGGGACACUCAACCAAGUGAGCCACCCACGUGCCCCUCUUUUUUUUUGUAGUCUUGUUGGAGAGUAGUGGCCUCUACCUACCACAGACGUCAGACAGCUUAGACUCAGCCCUCAUCCCUAGGCUACCAGAGCUGAGCAAAUGUCUUAGCUUAGCCAUUUGGAUGUUUCUGCAACCUGGCUUCUCAGGCUUGGGAUCCUGGUGGUAUGACUUCUGCUUUUGGGAUUUUGAAGUCUGAGUGUAUGUCCAAAGCUGAACGGUCACUUAGAAUUCAUUCACAACAAUGAAGGCAGCUUUGAUGGUGUGUUCGGCUGUGUUCUUCCUUCUUCUUAUGAUAUCGCUGUUGAGUUUCCUCCUCCUUAAUCAUCCAGACCACUGAGGUUCUUGUAUUCUAAGGUCCUGUUGCUGUGAGCCUCAUAAGCUUCCAGGAAGUCACUAUCUGACCACCGCCUCCCCCCAACAUCUCCAGUUUUUCUCCAUACAUAAUAUGAAACCGAGAACUGAGAAUGACAUUCCGUGCAUCUCACGUACUUCUUUCAGUGACCAAGACUCCACAGUGCACUAGGCUGAUCUUCAGUCCCACCCCCAUGGUGGCUGAGUAGGCUCUUCUGCCCCCCUCAUCCUUGUCGCUUGGUUUCCACUGUUUACUUUCUGAACCCUGAAAACAGAAAGAAGGUUGAGCUGCCCUCUAGCUAAGCCACUGGCUUUCACAUCACCCCCGCUUCUGCCUUUGCAGAGUGCCACCGCUCACCUUGAAUUGUUACCAUGUUUCAAUCCUUCACUCCUGCCUAGGAAGGGUGGCUCAGCCAAUGAAACUCUGCACCUUUUCUUUCAACAUCAGAACUUGUUUUCAGGAGACAUCGGUUCUCAUCCCACCUUGGCUGCUGAUUCUCUUUAUGUAACCCAGUUUAGCUCUUCGUCCUUCAGUCUUCUUCCCUCUAAACUAGGCUAGGUAGCAGCUGGAGGGGCAGUCUGGGGCAGAAAUAAAAUGAUUGUCAUGCCGGCAUCUUUGUAAAGCAAGACUGAUGUGGUGAUGAUCACCACGUAGUGCUAUGAAUAUUUUUCACAAUAACAGUGAUAAUAAAAUCAAUGGUGAGAAUGUUAGGAAGGACUGGGUGGCUUUGUGGGGUUUGGUUAUUAAUGGCUGAGGACUGCAUUGAUUGGCAGUGGUGGGGCGGGGGGAUGGUUAGGGGCUGGGGCCAAGCUACCAUUUUUCUUAAUCACGUAGUGACCUCUUCUGGGGAACAAAAGAGGCAAGCAGGGCCUCAGCAUUGGGGGACCCCUUACACAUCUGCUCUGAGGCAAGCAAUGAUAGCACAGAUGGUCCCAGGGGAGAAACUCUCAGGGUAGAUGUUUGCCCUGGGCAACCAAAUGGAAAACAAAAACAAAUGAACUGAAACUGAAAAUCAUUUGCUCAGGAGCCCUCCCUGAGAGAGAUAUCAUAGAGCUGGUCAAACUUUGGGGACCCAUUCCAUGCCUUGUGGUGAGGCCGUGGUCAGGCAAGCUGUCCACAACCAGGAAUGUAAGAUCAGCCUUGAGGGAGAAUGGCUCGAAACAGGUCCAGAUGGGAAAUGUACUUUUGUGUAUUCCUAAGUGGAAGAUAAAAGAAAGACUAUCUCAGAUAUACAAAGCUAGGUUCAGAUUGAGGUCUAGUAGAGGAAGUGGCUUUUGCUCAAUGGUCCUUUUUUGGAGGCAGGAGAGGGGCAAGCCUUGCCAAUUGGACUGAGAGUAAGACAAACCAGAAGAAUGUUUGUUUGCUUGUUUGUUUUCUCCAACAAAUGUCACCAUAUUCAUUUGUUACUUCAGACUCUUGGAAGGAGAAAGAAGAACCUCCAGUAAGCCUUCUUGGUGACUCUAGCUACUACUGCAGUCCCCUUCUCUGGGUGCCUGCAGGACUUAAGCUGGGCUAGAUGGCGGAGCAUUUGAUCAGACCUGGUCUGUCUUGGGCUGUCCUGUGCUACACAUUCCCAAGAACGCAGCCUUGUCCAUGGCUUCCACAUAAACUCAAGGGCAGCAAGGUGCAGGUUGACGGGAAUCCUAUUGUCCAACCUCUUGUUGGAUGGAGUCAGAAGAACUGGACUCGGAGAGAGGAAGGGUCUUACCCUAAGUCCAGGGACAGAAGGACGAGGCUCAGAUUAGAAUGGGGUCCUCCAACCAGUUAACAGUCAUGCCCCCCCACUUCCCUCCAGCCCCCCCUGCAUACUAAUUGACUAGCUUUAUUAUUAAUGCUUGUGUACUAGGUUGACUAAUAGUAUGGUAGCUACAAUUUGUUAAGUGACUACCGCAUGCGAGUCUCUGUCCAUUCAUUUAUUUAGCAAAGAUUUGUUGACUAUAAUGUGCUAGACACUGGAGAUAAGGGUAGUGAGGAAACAGUUAAAAGCUCUGCCAUUGCCAGUGAUCUCAUCUACAAAGAUAAAAUGAAAACUGCAAUCACCAAAGCCCAGGGAUCGGAUGCUGUAAGAGGCCGCCAUGAUAGGGUGGAGCUUUUAGUCCAGGGAGAGCUUCUAUAAGGAGGUGGCCACUGUAUUCAUACAGUUGCUGGGGCCUCACAUCCCUGGGCUAUCCUUACCUCCUCUGAUUUUCUUACACCCUGCAUCCUCCACCAGCAAAUCUGAUUGGCUCUGCAUCUGAAAUAUGUCUCACCAGUUGGUGCCAUCCCUCUUUGUCCACACACCCCCAGUCUCUUGGGUGCAUUGCUGGGACAUGAUCUCCAUGCUUCCACUCUUGCCUCCUCACGAUCAAAUAUGUUCAGACAAUUUGGGGUCAUAACUUUGUCCAGGUCUCAUACAGGAAAACUUCUCAGAGGCUUUCAUUUAUGAAAAUGCAUAUCAAUAUGCUGAAUCUCCAAGAAUAGAAUAGAGUAGACAGCAUAUUGCAAACAUAUUUGGCCACAGCAUGUUUUCUUAUGGAGUAUUUCACACAACUGCCGUCCCAUAGAAUGCACUCUGGAUAACCCAGAAAAUGUCUGUGAAAAGAUAUCAUAUAAAAUUAUUAUUAUCCCACAUGAUGACCCAAUGGGGGACGGAGACACUCACAACAGUUUUGUUGAACUGGGAGUCAGGUUGAGUAAGUUUUAGCUGCAGUUAGCUACUUUUGAGCUCUGUGGCCUUGGGCAACUUAUUUAAUCAUUCUGAGCCUGGUUUCCUCAUCUGCAAAAUGCAAAUAAUAAUUCCCGUCCUGUCAACUUUGCCAGGACGUUUGGGAGAAUCCAAUGAGAUGAUGGACGCUAGAGAAGGGGGCAUCCCUUUGCCCCGCGAAACCGAAGCACACCCAAACCCAGUGCCGUUACUGUGCUACCAGGGAGGCCUGGACAAACGUUAGUAUUUCUGGUUACACCAUCUCUGCAUUUAGUCAUGAUCAAAGAGCAAUAAAUUAACAUUUGGCUUAUUUACUUGAGCAACUGAGAGUAAAAACCCAGGGAGUUGCUGGCCAUGGGCUAGAAAUCAAACAAAACAAAGAAUUAAUUGGAACUAAGGCUGUACAGAAUGCCAGUCCGUGCCAUGCACGGGAACAGGAAAGAAAAGCCAGGUGCCUGGACAGAGGAUGUAAAGAGCAGGGAUUGUGUGAAAAGUCUCGGGAGGUAAGAGAACUUCUAGAGAGAAGCUAUGAGACUGUAGCUUAAAGAUUGAUUAUCAUCUCCACUAAUGGUGUUGACACGGUGCCCUACACCGAGUCACUGAAUGGCACUGGGGGUGGUAACUCAGUGAGGGUCAGUGGGGCAGUGUGGCAACUCCUAACUGGCAAAGCUCUGAGUCUUUGUAAGGUGCCCAUUCAGAGUACCUGGUUCAGACCAGGUCCGCAAGCUCUGCUGAUGUCUCCUUCUGGACCCAAACGCUGCCAGCUUCUCUUUUCUCUGGGGCUUCGGGUUAUGACCGACCAGGUGAACUUGGGCUAAGGACACUGAACUUCCAGCCGAAUUCACACUCAACAAAUACAACUUGUGUUUCUGGGCCAAGCCUCUGUUGGUGAUGAUGACAAAGAUGAUGAUAGUAUUAAUAAUGGUCAUAAAAAAUAGAACAUCCAGGGGCGCCUGGGUGGCUCAGUCGGUUAAGCGUCCGACUUCAGCUCAGGUCACCAUCUCGCGGUCCGUGAGUUCGAGCCCCGCGUCGGGCUCUGGGCUGAUGGCUCAGAGCCUGGAGCCUGCUUCCGAUUUUGUGUCUCCCUCUCUCUCUGCCCCUCCCCCGUUCAUGCUCUGUCUCUCUCUGUCUCAAAAAUAAAUAAAAACGUUAAAAAAAUUAAAAAAAAAUAGAACAUCCAUAUGGAAGCUUAGAAAGUCACUCAUAUCCAACCCCCUCAAGGGGGUUGGAUAAAUAAAUAAAUGGCCGGUGUUCUUUCAUUUUGUUAUGUGCCCACUUAUCAGGAAGUUUAAAUCCAAAGUACUUUCUCCACCUACCCCCAAACCUUAAGAUUGAGGCAACAGUGCCCCAGGCAAGAACUCAAUCGAAUGAAAAAGGUUUCUGUUUGCACAAAGUUGUUUACCAGGAUUACAAAGCAAACAGGAGAAAUGGAACAAAAUGAUAAAAACAAUCUUUGGUGCUUUCCUGUGGGAUUUUCUGAGGUCUUUCAAAGCAUGUCCAGUGACUGGUGAAGUUGACUUCUUGGAGGAAAGAGAAGAGGAAGGAAAGUGAACACAUUAUCAUGAAUCUUGUCUCCUGUGGGUUUUAUGGCUGUAGCUGACCGUGGCUGCUCCCAGCCUUUGCUGAACAUUAGUUUUUUGGUGUGACCUGUGUGGUUGGGUACACAGGCCAGUGGUGUUCCCUGGAAACAUGGGUAGGCUGAGGCCAGGGAAAGCUGAUAGAGUGGAGCGUCCUGGCCUUUCUCAGAAAUGAGGGUUCUCUAAGUAAGAGUGCAGAUGGUAGUACAACCAGGGGGGUUAUCAGCAGUGGCACCUGAAUUGCCUGGAGCAAGAAGGGACACAAAUAUCUAGGUAGCUGCUGGGUUUCUCACAACUAGGAGAAUCUCAGCUUAUGAAACAAACUGGCAGCUCAUUAUUGUCCCCACUGAACAGAUGAGGAAACUGAGUCUCAGAGAUUACAUUGAACCUGUUUAAGCUUACCCAGCCCCAACCCGGGAGAGCCCGGAUCCAAAUUCAGACCAUCUGAUGCCAUGUCCUGAGCUUUUUCCCUACAGUGAGGAUCUGAGAAGCCUGACCUUUUCCACGCCACCCGCCUGCGAUUCAGUGUGUUUGGCUUGUUGUCAUUAUCUAAUUACUGGUUUGCUCUGAAGCUUGCCUUCAUUUCUGGGCAGCUCCUGGGAUAGAGACACAUUCAGUAGUGACACUAGAUGUCAUUUCUUGGGGUUGAAGAGUGACUCAGAGUGAGAAGACGGGUUCAAUGACCCAAGGGGCCUUAGAACCCCUUGAAUUUUGACAACUCACAAACAGAGCACUUAUGAAGUGUCAGGCAGAAGGCUGAAGGCCCUCAGCAGGAGCUCGCCCUUCCUUGCAAUAAUCUUAGGAAGUACACAUCAUUGUCAUAUCCAUUUACAGAUGAAAAGACUGAGGCUUACCGAGAUUGACUUGUCGAAGCUUGCAUAGCCAGAAAGCAGAAGAGCAGGGAAUUAACUUGAGGUAGUCUGAGCACUUACUCCUGACUCUGAAAAUACUUGUCGAAUAUUAAGUUGUUCUCAAAGAGGUCCUCCGACCAGCAUUGACAUCAACCAGCAAUGUGUUAGGGAUACUGAAUCAGAAACUCUGGAGGUGGCGCCCGGCCCUCCGGGGUCGCAGCAGCCUUCCAUGUAUCCUGAUAUACACUCCCAUCUGAGAACCCCGUGACGAUGCUGAACUGCUGUGCUCUAAGGGAGAAAGGACUCAGAGUACUGUAGGUGCCAGGUGAACGUAGACUUGGGAAGAUGGCUUUCCAGGAUGGGCUGUUGUUUUGGAUUGUGGACCACACCUGAGGGAAUAGAGCCAAGGCAAAAAUCUCUCCAGAGAGGGGAUUUGAUGGGAAGAGAAGGGGGGAUGGGGUGACCUCACAGCUACCUUCCAAGAAUACAGUGUGUUUGUAGGACACGUGUCAUUGAUCCACUAAGGACCACUGAAGUCAAGUGACUUGGCCAAGGCCCUGGAACUAGUGACAAGUGAUGGAGUCAAAGUCAAGCCCCUGACUCCUUACAGGGCAUUCUACCACUGUGUCUCCCCAGAGCAUGGUGAGUCAUAGACGUUUCAGUAACUCCCUCUGGAUCAUGAGAAGCUCUUCUCAGUAAUGGUCACAACCUUCUGACCAGAUAAUCUGGAGUGAGGGAAGAAUAAAAAGGACAGCAGGGCUGGUGGUUCCAGGAGGGAGGAAAUAUGAAGGGAGGGAUUCAGAGAGGGGCAGAGAGGAGACAGGGAGACAUCAUGUUCUGGGAACCCAGAACUAUCUCCUCAUCUUGGCCAUCAUUGUCACCAUUUACUGGUCUGUAAAUACUCUAAAGUGGUACCACACAAAACAGGGUAGCACAGCUGAACUUGACUUUGAUUCCUGGCUUUGCCGGUGACCCUACACAGUUUAUUUAACCUCUCAGAGAUUGGAUCCUCAUCUACAAAACGAGAAUCCUCAGAAUUCUGGCCUCACAGGAUUUGAGGGAAAUUCUAAGGGAGUUAAUGUAUGUAAAACCCUUAGCAGAUUGCCUGGCUCAUAAUAGGUGCUCAAUAAAUGUGCACCAGAGUUGGGAGUGUGGAAAUAAUUCCCCAUUAAUUUGCUUCCCAGGGAUGGUGGUUAAUGUCAGGAAGAUAUGCAAGUCUGGGCCAGAGCUGAAUUCUUUUUUUUUUUUAAUGUUUAUUUGAGAGAGAGAGAGAGAGAGAGUGUGAGCAGGGGAGGGGCAGAGAGGGAAGGAGACACAGAAUCGGAAGCAGGCUCCAGGCUCCAAGCUGUCAGCACAGACCUGAUGUGGGGCUCGAACUCACCAACCAUGAGAUCACGACCUGAGCUGAAGCUGGACGCCCAACCAACUGAGCCACCCAGGCGCCCCUAGAGCUGAAUUGUUUGAGAGGAUGUGGGGGGGUGGGGUGGCUGAGGCUGCUACCAAUGGAUCACCUUAUCUCUUUUUCCAGUACGUAGUGGAUGAUGAAAUAAGAACAUCUCUUUGAAAGUUCCCAAGUCAUUCCCCUGUCCCGGGACUCCCACCCCUCAAUGCAGCCCUGACCCCACUCAGAAUGGCCCUCAGGCCCUCUCCUUUCUCUUCCCCUUCCCUCCCUCCCUUGCUCUGGUUCCCUGGACAUUGCCAUGCAGACUUGCAUCCCAGUUUUCAGUGGCAGCUCACUUCUGUCCAUAAGAACGCCCACAGCCUACACCAGAACAACGGGGUGAGGGUGAAAACUGUGGUGGGUCGAGAGGCGAGGCAGCGUGCUGGCAUCCAGGCCAUCUCUAGCAUUGAGAGAAGGAGGUUGUACUCUAUAUAAUUUCUCGCUCUACCUCUGCCCAUGUGACCAAGAUGUUUGAGCUCAUUCAUAAAAUAAUAGGAAAAGCUAACAUUUGUUUGAGCAGUUCACUAUAUGCCAGGCAUCAGUCUCAGUGUUUUAUGUGUAUUUACUCAAAUAAUGCUCAACAUAACCCUCAAGUAGAACUACUGUUAUAAUCCCCAUUUACAAAUGAGAAAAUGCAGACACGGAGGGGUUGAGUAACUUGUCCCGGGUCACGCAGCUGGCAAGCAGGAUUUAAAUGCAAGCAUUCUAAUGACAGAAUUUUCCCUGUUAACCACUAUGUGAUGCUGCUUCUCCAAAGGGGACAGCAGGCAUUCGUGACAACAGAAAAGAGGUCUUAUUUCUACAUAUAUUUUGUUGAAAUUGUAUGAAUAUGAGUGUUAUUAUUAACUUGGUUCUUAGAGAAGUGCGUAUGGCAAAGGUAGUUUACAAGGAUUUUCAAGGGGUCGGAGUUGCUUUGGGAUCAACUUUAUUCCUGUGGCAUAAAGGCCAAGUGAGGUCUGGAAAGAAACACCCUGGGAGUUGUGAUCUUGUCAACACACCCCCACCCCCACACCUCUGCUAUCAGCAGAAUAUGAAAAUGCCCAUCUCAAUAUGCCUUGAAGGGAACAGAAGUCACCCAAAUGGAACAUGCAGAAGGUGGGGUGUGUGUUAAGGCCAGGAAGGGGUUGCCCCCUUACAGAGCGCACGGAGAGAUUUGAGCCAAUGCCUUCAUGUUCGCUUUGGGUAUUUCUCAACAUCAGCUAGUGGAGCCAAUUCUGAUACUGCCAUCUUCCACACUCCACCCCAAUACACGCUUGUGUCUAGCCGAAUGUCUGCUGGACAUCUGUCCCUGCAAAAGAGAAGCUCCCUUAAGAACCUAGCGCACAGACUCAGUGUUUUAUAUUGCCGUAAUUUCACGUGUAAAAGAAUCACUAGAGACUGUAUCGAUCAGUUUUGCUGCGUAACAAAGAACCCUGCCCCCAGAUCUCGGUGGCUUAUAAAAAUGAAGAUUUAUUUUCCAUUUACGUCGCAAGAUGCCCACAGCUCAGCAGUAGUUGUGCUUCAGGCUGUGAAGCACAGCCUGACUAAGGGUCAGUUCCAUUGGUCUUCUUGGUCUGUGAUUGCACAGGAAGGAGCAGCCCCUAUGCGCAGUGUGCUGUUCUGACAGAAGGCAGGAAUGCAAGAGACCAACUUUUUAGGUAUGCGGUCACCUUACACGUUUGCAGCCAUGUGGCCCAUAGUCCACAGGCCAGAGCCAUUCAGUGAGCCGAAUCUGACAGUAGAGUAGGAAAAUCGACUGGCCCUGUGUGGCAAGGAUGUGAAAGCAUAAUCCUUUUACAGAAGACUGGUCUGUAAUCCAAAUUAUCACAGGGAUUUUUUUUAAGCAUGCAAUUCAAGGGCCCUUCCUCAGCUAUUUUAAUUCAGUAGGUCAGGGUAAGUAAUAACACCAGGAAUAAUAAUAAUGAAAAUAAUAAUAGUAAUAAUAAUAAAGAUGGGACACCUGGGUGGCUCAGUCGGUUGAGACUCUGCCUCUUGAUUUUGACUCAGGUCAUGAUCUCAUGGUUCACGGGUUCGAGCCCUGUGUUGGGUAUGGUGCUGACAGCCCAGAGUCUUUUUGGGAUUUUCUCUCUCCCUCUUUCUCUGCCCCUCUCCAAUUCACACACACACAUGUGUUCUCUUUCUCUCUCUCAAAAUAAUUAAAUAAACUUAAAAAAUAAUAAGGAUAAUGACUGAUAUUGUUUGCCUUUUAUGAGUUUUAUGAGCCAAAAACUGUGUUAAGUGUGCAUGUAUGAUGUUGUUUAAUCCUUAUGAUCUCCCUUUUAUAGGUAAAAAAGAGAAGCUCAGACAUGUUCAGAAACUUCCCCAGGUUACACAGCUAGUAAAUGGUGGAGCAAGGGCAUGGACCUGUGGAGUAUAACUCCUGAGCACCCCAAAGUCUUCUUCUGCUUCUCAAAUAUGCCAAUUCUCUCCUGCCUCAGGGCCUUUGCACUUCCUUUCUCCUCAGCUUGAAUGAAGUUUUCUCCCAUUCAUUCACUCAUUUCUCAAGUUUCAGUAGAAACAUCACUUCCUCAAAGAAGAUGCCUGAUGGACUCUCUUUGUGGGUCUCCUGGAUUUGGUCAGCCUUAUAUGACCUUCUGUGCUGCGGCAACUCGCUUGAUGGGGAGCCCAAUCUCCUGUGCAUCCUCUAGCCUCCUAACACCUCAGGCUCUCUCAGCUCUCCUCAGGGAAAACAGGAGAUGGGAAGGGGCGAGCAGAUAAACCUCUCUGAUCCUUCUCCCAGAUGUGCUCUCCAAGACACGGUUGUCCCAGAUGGUUCAUCCAUCUGAGCCAUCAGCUCUAUUUUCUUGCAAGGCUGGUGCCAGCUCUGUAAAACACCACCUUGCACGUGCUUUCCCUCGUUCCUUCACUUCCUCUUGUCCUUUUCUCUUGCUGCCCUAGACUGCCUCGCCCAAGAAAGCAUUAGCAGGUGAGAUUUACUGCUGGGUUUGCUCUCUUGGGAGCCCAACCUAAGGGACCCCUUCCCAUCUAAACUUGACCACCCGUUUUUCUCCCUCCAGUACCCUAAUCUUGUGUCUCACAGUGUUUUCUAGCACAACUACUCAUCAUAUCUAAUAUAUGUGGUUAUGUGGUUAUCUGUUUAACAACAACCUCUCUCCCUCCACGGUAAGCUCCAUGAGACAAAGAUUGCACAGUGUUGAUUGCCAUUGUGUUGCUUGUACUUAGUGGAUGGCCUGCCCAUAGCAGCUGCAUAAAUAAUAUCCAGAAAUGAGUGUGCAUGCCUGGGUUUGAAUCCUUGUUCUGACUCUGUUACUUUGGCGAGUUACUAAAAAUUCCUCAGCUUCGUUUUCCUUCUUUUUGUGGAAAAAUGGGACGAGGUACCUACUUCAGAUGUUCUGAGAACCAACGCUGGUGGUAAAUGUAGAUGUUCAAUAACUGAUAAUAAUUGCUGAUAUUAUUAGGCAAGGCCAGCCCCCAGCAAUCUUUUCCUGUAAGGGCCCAGAUCGUAAAUAUUUUAGGCUUUGUGGAAGAGAUGAUCCCUGCCACCAAUUCAACUCUGUUAUUGUGUGAAAACAACCAUAGAUGAUAUAUAAACAAAUGGGUGUGUCUGUGUUCUAAUAAAACUUUAUUUACAAAAACAGGUGACAGGCCAUAUUUUGUCCCUCAGGUUGUAGUUUGCUGACCCCUAUACUAUACAGUCUGAGCAGUGUCAAUGUAAAGGCUUGUGCUAAGUCAUAUCAACCGACUGCAAAUAUUUCUGAACUUUCUAGGCAAGGCUUCUCCCUUGAUUUGUUCUCCGUGUUAAAGAUAAGCAAUAGUUUCCUGGCAGUGACAGUGUACUUUCAGGGAAACCUUAUUCUCAGAGUCUGUAUUUGUUUAUAAUACCUCUCCAACAGGUGUGAGCGGUAAGAGACCUACCAUAUAUUUUCUCUCUGACUCUUUGUUUCCUGGUAAUGGUGCACCUUCUCCACGUACACGAAGCUAGUCUGCAAUGAGAAAAAUCAGCAUUUGGAAGACCGGAACUUCGCUUGUCUCCUAAGAAGAACCUUACUUUUAUGGUAAAUGUUUUUAAAAUAUGUUGUUUCCUGCAAGAGAUAUGAGAGAUAGUCUUUUUUUUUUAAUUUGGUCAAACCUUGAGAGAAGAGCAGAUCUAGCCAUCAUCUAUCUAUCUCUAUCUAUAUUGACCCCAAUAUAUCUAUAUCGAUAUCAAUAUCAACAUCAAUAUCGAUAUUGAUAUCGAUGUAGCUAUAUAUCUAAUGGGAUCAAGAGAAUAAGACAAGUGUGCUUUAGAGAAAACAGUAGAUUUUUUAAGCUUUGCUAUGUAUCAGGUAUGUGAGAGGGGGCCAAGACACCACAGCUGAUGGUUCAUCAGGAACCACCCACAGGAGAAUUGAGGUGCUAUUAAUAGGAGGAGAGGGAAUUACAGAUCGGAGCUGGGUGGGGCGGAUAUGAAGUGGCUGCCAUAUCUUACCCCUGUGAGCAUCAGCGUGCCUCUCUUGUGCUGAUGAAAAAAGAUGUUGUAAAGGGCACCUUGCCCAUUGCCUGGUACAAAAUAGAGCUGGACUAAAUCUCUCUUUUUUUGUAAUUAUUAAUAAAACAAGACACUCCACAAAUCCUACCAAGGGUUAAGCCUACUUGAACUGAUCACAUGUUUGUUGGAUUCUGAUGCAUAUCACCUUGAUGUGACAUUGCAGACCCACGUUCCGCACAUCUUUGUGUUCUCCCAUCCUUGGAGUUUCGGUGAUGACUCUCCUCAUGGUUGCAAUGUGGCUGCCUCUGCUCUAAGCAUCAUGUCUUUUCAGGACAUCUUUUCAUGCAGGAUGAAAGAAAGCAGGUGGCAAAAAGGGCCCCCUCCUUUACUUCCUUUGUGCUGGGGAAGGAAAUCUUCUCCAGAAGGCCCCUUGCAAACUUCUCAUUAUGUGCCAUUGGCCAGAAAUGUGUCACUCAUCUGACCCUAAACUAAUUGCUCCCAAAGGGGGUGUGAUAACCAUGAUUGUCUGAGAAGAACCAUGAUUCAUCUACUGUGGCUGGAACUAGGAAAGAAGUGGCAUGCUCACGGGCAGGGAGAGUCUGCCAUAUCUUUUUUGUCAUUUCCUUCUCACGUCUAUUUAGUUGACCAGUUCCUAACUCAGUGCCUGACCUAAAAUAGGCACUCAGUAUGGUUUUGUUGGGGGAUGAGUAAGUAAUACGUGAAGAAAUAAUGACUAGAAUGUCCUCUCCUUGCCUUUUCCCCUAUUUAUUCUUUUUGUUUUCCUUAUUUCUCCGAGUCUGAGAGAAGCAGUCCUGGAACUAUUCUUGUCCAUGCAGACGACUCUUCCUAAACUUGGUAGCACGGUAAAAGAUGAAUAUCACACCAUCCAUUUUCCGCCUUUGGUAUGCGUUGGUCAGUGUGGUCAAGGAGAGAACAGGGUAGGGGAGGCUGGUGGUGUAAUCAAGGACUGACUGCUCAGCUAUGACCAAGCCUGUCCUCAGCAAGACAGGGAACCAUCAAAGUCCGAUUCCCUUCAUUCCUUUCUCUGGGCAAUUUCCUAUGGGUGUUCAAACUUUUCUAUUAGAGUGUCAGUAAAAUGACAGCGAGCUGUGGAAAAUAUCCAAGAGAAAUGGUGUGGAAUGCAGCAAGCAUCUUGGAAGCAUUUGUUAUCAAGUAUGUAAUGAGAUAAUUAUAAACCUCUUUCCACUUAGCUCACAGCCCAAAAGGUCUAAUGCACACCCUUCCUAUCACUUUUUAAAUCUAGUUUGAAUGAAGCACUGGGAAAUAUUUCUUUAAAGAGUGAUCAUUCUGUAUUAUUCAUGAUUUCAGUCUUGUUUCACGCCAUUAUUGGACCAAGGUGGGGACUUUGUGCUCAAUUCUGGCUUAUCUCUGGGAAGGAGAGAGGAUGACGAGUGGUUCUUCAUUCUGGGCGGCAUCUGAUCUCUAUCACUUAUUAGCUAUGACAUACUGGGCAAGUUGCUUAAUAGAUCCAAGCCUCAAUUUUCUCAUCUACAAAAUGGGAUAAUAAUUGAGGGUGGUUCUGGCACAGACACUGCACAAAGAAAGGGGUGCAAUAAAUGCUAUCUGUCACAUGCUAUCGUCAUCAGUUUGCCACUGAAAUGACGUGCACGUUUUACAAAGACGGCUAUAGUUGUCAUCUUUGAAAACAAGACUAUGCCGUUUGGGAAAACCCAAAGUCAGUCCAUCCAACAACAGCCAGCCAAUUGUUGUGAUGCACUGUUUGUAUUCUUGGCAUGGUGCCAGGUGCUGUGAUUAGAAUGUGUGAGGUGGGGGGGGGGGCUUCAUGUUGCUGAGAAUGACUCUGACCAGUCAGUUACAGUCAGUUAAGGGUGGUUAAAAAAUGCCCAUCGAAUUUGAUGCUUAUUUUGCAGAAAUGAAGGUCUUUGGGUUGAAUCAUGUCACCCAAAAGGGUCACUUCAUAUUGAAUUGAUUCUUAAUGGGUUCUGUCUUGCAGUUGGAUGUGAAACCAGGAGCAUGUGCUGUGGCAGCAUUGAGAAGAAGGAUGUCAGGCUUCUCUAGACCUGUCCACCCACAAAGCCAUUGUCACUUCAGGCAAGCCUCCUCACCAUUCCGGGCCUCCUGCUCUCUAACACGAGCAUUUAAAUACCCACCCACAGCAUUUAGAUGGUUAUUGCAAGUAAAAGAUGAAAUGAUUUCAUUGUAAUUAUUAUUAUGGUUACUUACUAUGGUCUCAGAGGAGAGUUCUUUAAGAUGCUGGAACUCUCUUGGGUCCAGGAGCAUGAGGACGAUUGUUCUUCUAUGACCAGUUCUUUCCAACUCUCCACAUAAAUCCAAACCAAAUGCAAAAGGAUAUAUUUAAAAACAUUUCUUACUUGACCACCGGGAGCUCUGAAUGGACUAGUGUAGAAGUUUGGGUCCUCUGAGAAGUACACACUAAGACAGGGUUAGAUGCCCGAGAGGGUCAUUGGAGGAAACACCUGUGAAGAGAAAGAGGGAGGAAGUAGGGGGAGGCAGGGAGAGACUUUAGACCCUGAUGUGGGUCUCACACCUGUGAAAGGAGAGGAGGAAGGAAGGAGACCAGGAAGAAAGAGUCUGAAACUGAAGUACAUUUCUAAGAUCCAGUGUUUGGACAGAGACCAAAUUGCCUAUGAGAGCAGUUCCGUGCCCCAGAGAAAUGAGCCUGGGCUUAUACCCUCGUCAUGCUUAGUCAUUGGCAGGAAGCAGCCUGUGGGAGGUGUGACCUUGGCAUGAACACAGUGGCGGAGCCAGCACUGGGACAUUCAGUCAACUAUGUUUCCCAUCUCAGGAGACGUGAGCAGUACAUUUUCAUGGCUACCCAGCAAACUGUGAGACAUUUCCUCCUUGAGAACACAUCGUAAGGACUUUGAAAAACAAACCAGAACAUUUGUGAUAGUAUAGAUUUUGCACCCCAAAUCAAUGUUCCAUUCCCUUCUUUGACUUUCACUUCCCCCUCUGUUUCAGCUAGACCAAUCAUGUUGAAAACCCCACCCAGGUUUGUAGAGUUCCUCAUUUGACAAUUAAAAAAAAUGUAUGUGACUGAGUCACAUGCGCUUCCUUUGUUUUAUCUUUUCAAUGAGUUGUUUUCAUUUCUUGGGUUUUCUUUGAUUUCAUGUUUUUCCUAUCUUUACCCAUCCACCAUCGCCUGUUCAUACUGUAUUGCUGAUGCCUUAUGUGGUAUUUGUGGAAUAAAUGGACCAAUAAAUUAGUGAACGGGCUAUAAGAGUCAAAC
rnacentral:lncRNA from 1 species